GGGUAUGCAUGUCCCCUAGCAAGUCGUACAAAAGGAGCCCUUGCAAGAACGUUCGCUGCACCGCGGCCUGUCACAAAGAGCACUUCAAGGGUGGGUACUGUGCCACUAAGAAGUCAAUUGUUGGCGAUGAGCUCAACGAAGACAACGACGACAACUUCUUUCACAAACAACCUAAGAAAAAGACGUGCAUGUGUACAUUUCAAUGUAGUAAAGCCCCACCACCACCGUCAGAACCUGACGUGCCAGAGCCACCGGGUGAACCUGAGGUGCCAGAUCCUAAGAAGAAGCCGCCGCCGCCAUAUGUACGUGAUGUGCCGGAGCCGCCCUCGGGAGAAAACAAGAAGAAGCUACUGCCAGCUGUUGACCAGUGAGCAAAUGGUCUAUUCUGCCCGUUCGUGGAAAAUGAUUUCAAUAAGAGAGGAAUUAAUCAAUGCUUGACCUGUACACAUGCAUAAUUGAUUGCAUGAAAAUAAUAAUAAUCUUGGUACUGUUAAAGGGAGUAUGUCGCUGUGAUGGUCCCACNNNNNNNNNNNNNNNNNNNNNNNNNNNNNNNNNNNNNNNNNNNNNNNNNNNNNNNNNNNNNNNNNNNNNNNNNNNNNNNNNNNNNNNNNNNNNNNNNNNNNNNNNNNNNNNNNNNNNNNNNNNNNNNNNNNNNNNNNNNNNNNNNNNNNNNNNNNNNNNNNNNNNNNNNNNNNNNNNNNNNNNNNNNNNNNNNNNNNNNNNNNNNNNNNNNNNNNNNNNNNNNNNNNNNNNNNNNNNNNNNNNNNNNNNNNNNNNNNNNNNNNNNNNNNNNNNNNNNNNNNNNNNNNNNNNNNNNNNNNNNNNNNNNNNNNNNNNNNNNNNNNNNNNNNNNNNNNNNNNNNNNNNNNNNNNNNNNNNNNNNNNNNNNNNNNNNNNNNNNNNNNNNNNNNNNNNNNNNNNNNNNNNNNNNNNNNNNNNNNNNNNNNNNNNNNNNNNNNNNNNNNNNNNNNNNNCACAUCCAAGGACCCAACACCUGUUUUCCCCUAAAAACUGCUAGACCAACGAACGGGCUACUUUCCUUUCCAAUCAAAACCUACCACGUUAGCUCUCACGUAAAGUAUGUCAAAAGAUUUUCGUAGAUGUAGCGUUAUCCUUCAUCCCAUCCACGCUCGGAUAAAAGAAAAGGAAAAGUCAAUGAGAUCCCGCGAAGCAUGAACACAUAUCCACACACCCCAUCUCCCCAACCAUGUCGCCCACGAUCACGUAUCUCUCCCCUCACCCGAGAAAAUUUGCCGACGCUGCUCCACUCCUCGUUUGCCUCAUGGUCCUGGGAGCACGGCCGCUAGGAUGGGGGACGGGUGGGAGCGUGCACUACAAGAAACCUGUUAAUCCAUGACGGAUUUCUGGUGACAUUUUCAGAAACUGUCAUGGAUGACCUGGUACAACCCCGCAAGCCCGCUAAAGCCCGUCUUCCUGUUCCUGUAUAAAAACCUAACCCUAAAUUCUCCUGCUCAGCUCCCGCUCUCUGUCCUCCUUGGCCCCCUCCCCCGUCUCCCACAGCACGGCACCACCCACCACUCCUCGCGUGCUUCCCACACCUCGCCGCCGGCCCUCCCCCUCCCUUCCCCUUGCCUUGUAGCUCCAGCAACAACCAGAUCCGCCGUAAUCCCCACCCAUCCAUCCUUCUCGCGACACAUCUUCGACCCCUUCGUCCUCUAGUCCGACUAGAUCUACUGCUCCUGGUCUCUAGCGCUCGCCCGCGACCCCUAGCGAUGGCUAGGGUUUCGGCCGCGACAUCGUGUCCAGCGCUGCGCAUCUUCGACGACUCCUCUCCGCCUACACAACGCGUCUCACACAGCUCCUCUCCGUCCACAUCGUGCCCCCUCGCGCCCAUCUUGCGGGCUGCACGGUGCUGUCGCUGUCCAACGUCUGGCGACGGGCGACCAACUACUGGGCUGCCAUCGGCGAGACCUUCUUCUCCACCAAGGUUAGCCCCCCGCCUGACCCAGGUCACACUAACCUCAUCCCUGAUGCCCCCGCCCCCUCUCGUGAUUCAGUCUGAUCCCCCUCACGCAUGUGUGCAGGAAGUGUAGGGCCCAACAGUUUGUGAAUCGUUUCUGAGUACUUGGCAUUCAAGGAGCAGCUUGUCGAUGAGUAGUAAGUUCAGGAUGAAAUCUUAGCAGCGUAGGUAACUUGUUCAUUCUACUUGUACAACCUUCUGAAUUCAUUCUCUCUAUGUGGACAGCAGUUAAAUUUGUGCUUGUGCUUGAUUCACCCACUACUCCAUAUGCUGUCUUUGGGUUCAGAGUGUGUUGAUGGCUCAUCCAAUUGAUGAACUGUUUUUUAAUCGCUGAUGUAUCUAAGGGAGGAAGACAGGGAGUGAUGUAGUUGUGCAACUGCUUGCUUCUAAAACCUUAUUAUUUUGUUUGUGUUUUGUAAGACUGUAGGGCACACCUCAAUUGGAAACACAUCUGCACUAGAGCAAUUUUGUUUCAGAAUGCCACAUUGGUGGUGAUGUCUGAAUGCAGGUAGCGCUAGCAGCUGUGCCACCGCAUGGCGCACAAUAGAGCUUAAGAGGGCAGCCGCGGUGGAGCUGCUCCGCGAUUAACCAGGGAUUAGUUCUCUAUUGUCACUCCUAUUAUUUCCAGUCCCCAGCUCAAGUGUUACUGAACUGCACUUAUUUAGUUCAUCUAGUUCAGAGUUAUGCAUUUUUCACCAGGGUUUUCAACUAAUUUGUUUGUGCCCCACUAAUCUUGGUGGUUAAAUAUAUCAUCUUAAGCACUCUAAUCGAAGUAAUCCCAGUAUGCAUGUGGCUAAAAUCAAUAACUGAUACAUCCUAACCACUAUCUCAGUAUCUCUUAACAGAACCAUUUUCCUUUUUAUAGAUCUAUUAAUGGCCAUGGCUCUUAGUUAUUUUGUAUGCCAUUUGAAGUUCAGUUGACAAACUAAGUGUUGUUUACUAUUUUCAGUGCCCUGAUAAAUAUUUAGUUUCAUGUGUAAACUUGUUGAGACAUGAACAUCAGAAUCUUACGCCAGCCAAACCGUCGAGCAGUGGCAAUGCAUCAUGGAUAUUGUUUGUUAGUUACGCCAUUUUGGCCGGAUUUAUAGGGCCUCAACUGGUGCUGCUAUAGUACAUGAGUUUUGCUAUGUAUGUUCUAUUACAUUAUCACUUAUAAGUCAACUUGAUAAGACUUCCAUCUGACACAUUUCUGUUUGGAUUAAUUUGUAGCAAGCUCAUGUUUAUUGUUUUUUUAUAAUAGAUACUUUAUUAUUCUCAUUUGUAGGCACAGUAAGAUUUAAGGAUUUUAGAGAAUAUGCAAUUGAUUUUUGAAGUUUCUUCUAAUUCUCUUAUUUCUACUACUAUCUAUUCAUAUCUUCAAAUGUCUAAUGUUGUUGUAAAUAUGGUAGGUAUGAUUGGGUAGCAGGUUACUUGGUGCUGUCCAUCACAAUCCGCCAGGACAUAUAGUUGACAUCACGAGGGUCGAGGACUAACAAUGAAUAACAACCUUAGUAGCUUAUAUGUUCUGUUGUUGUAAAUUGGAUUGUACUGGACAACUAGUUCCUAACCUUGCUGUGUGAUAUAUUUUGUCAAUAUAUGUUGUAUAUUACCAUUUUAUGGAGGAUUUUAUAAACUGCUCCGUUGUAGAUACCUAUAGAUUUUGUAAAUUGUUCUGUUGUGGAUACCUAUGGAGGAUUUUAUAUAUUGAACAAUUUGUGUAAUUUAUUGCACUUUGGAAAUACAGUCUUGGGCCAAAAUUGGCAGUAUUUUGUGUAACCCAUUGCGCUGAAAGUGUAUUGGUUCAAAAUUGGAAUGAAAGAAAUCGACGAGACUAAAUUUAAAUUGAUCCCAGAUUCAUGACGAAUUUCGUGACGAAAAAUAGUGUCCACAUAGGCAGCCACGUCAUUCCAGUUUGUCAAAUGAAAAUCCUACGUGGCAUUGGUCCAUGACAGUUAGUUCCGUCACAAAGGCUCGGGCCUAGUUUGGGCUUGGCCGGGCUUGAAGCAGAUCCAUGACGGUCAAGAUCCGUCAUGGAGAGUAUGAUGUCAAAUUAUGACGCGAUAUACAUGACGGAUUUCAAAUCCAUCAUGGAUGGGCAUGCAUGACAGUUUUUGGCUGAUCCAUGACAGUCAAGAUCCGUCAUGUAUUAACAGAUUUCUUGUAGUGGUGGUGCAAGAUUGGAGGCAGAGUAGGGUGUCUUGCAGUGAAGAUGUUCCCCACAACCACUUGUUCGCCUCGUCGUCAUCGUCGUGGUUGUGGGAGCGCGGCCACCGGGAUAGGGGCGGGGUGGGAGCGCGGUGCGCGAUUGGACGCAGAGUAGGGUGUCUUGCAGUGAUGCAUCCACCAAGUUUCCCAGGCUGCAACGUCCUUUGACAUGGAUACAAGCGCAUGCAGGGAGAGAGAACUGAGUGGGAGGUGUAUGGGGUCAACGCCCCCGUUAGCUUGUUGCUCGCCGCUGCUGGACGAGAUUAUGGUGGGUGUCGAUUUGAAGCGUGGGGAGAGAGCACCGAGGAAGAGCAUCGCAUUGGGGAUCGAUUUGGCCCCGAUCCGGCUUAAAGGAAUACAAGCCAUGCCCAUGCCACCCCAUGGACGCACCUGACCGAGGUCGGGGCUUGCCGUGGGUGCAUCCUGUAGGAGAUAUGCCCUAGAGGCAAUAAUAAAUGUUAUUGAUUAUCUCCCUGUUCAUAAUUAUGUUUAUGUUCCAUGCUAUAACUGCUGUGGUUCCCGAGCCCGUAUAUCCAUAAAGGCUCUGGGGAGAACCCAUAUGCACGUGUGGAAUAAUAAACGGUAAAAUGUAUUCCUAGUCGUGCCUCUAAGACUAGCUCAAGUGUUGCAUGAUGAUUAUGUUUUCCCAAUCAUGGGCAUGUCUAUGCCAAGAAACUUUGAGGGCACAAUGUCAGGAAGGACAUUUGUGUUGAAUCGACCCGAAUUGAUGCUAUGCUAUGAGAUACAUUCGUCACAAGUUAAUGGUUUAUAACACAGAGAUAGUUAAUAUUUGCAUAAUUCCUUAGACCAUGAGAGUAUCGAGUUUCUUCAUGCUUGCUUCAUGAACUUUGGGGUUUGUUAAACGUCAUCCGUAACUGGAUGGCUAUUACGGCGGCUUACGGGUUCAUGGGAAAGUAUGUUAAGUAACUUGAUAGCUCGAGAUUGGGAUUUGCUCCUCCGACGAUGGAGAGAUAUACUCGGGCCCACUCGGUGUUACGGUGUCCAUCAUCGUCUGGCCAGACACUUUGUGAUUUGAUCACGGGGAUGCCGGAACACGAAAUGAGAAAAGAGAACAAAACCGGUAACGAGGUAACUUGCAUAGUGGACAAAGUGUUGGCCCACGGGGAUGCAAUAAAUCUCACCUCAGGUGUUUGUGAUAUAUCGUGAAGCAACAGGAAUAGCUCACCUCAACUGGAGGUUCACUCGAAUAUUCAUUCGUGUGGGUAUAGGGGUCAAUAUGGGUGUCCACGGCUCCGAUGUUGAUCAUUGAUCGGAAGGGGUUCCAGGUCAUGUCUAUACUUCACCGAACCUAUAGGGUCACAUGCUUAAGGGUCAUCUAUCUGCUGAAUACUAGACAGGGAGUCUGAGAGAAAAUCACCAAAAAAGUUUCGGACACCGAAAAGUUUCGGACAGCGGAAUCGUACCGCAGAGAGAGGUCACCGGAUGAGUUUCGGUGAAACUGAAAAAGUUGUUUCGGGGUAUGCCAUUAAGUCAAAAUGGUUUCGGCACAUGCCUGAUAAUUCUUGGAGGGUGCCAGAAUCAUUCUGGAAACUUUUUGGAAUUUUCAGAAAUAAAAACCGAAAAUGUUUCGGAGCUGCCGGUACCGCUUUGGCUGUUUUUCGCAGAUGAAAUUAACUAAUCUGAAAUUGUUUCAUAACGAAUCCAAAAUCAUUUAGUGGGUACUGGAAUUAUUCUAAGACCCACAGAAAUAUUUUCGGAUUUAGUGGACGCGAAAAAUUGUCUUCAUGAAUAGUGAAAACACAUUCUUGUUUGCUUUUCGCAGAUGAAAAUCACUAAACCGAAAUUGUUUCGGAACGCGUUGAAAAUUAUUUUAGUGGGUACUGGAAAUGUUCUGAGCGCACAUAAAUGUUUUCAGUUCGAACGGACGCUGAAAAAUGUCGUCAUGAAUAGUGAAAGUGCUUUUUGCUUGGCUUCUUGGAGAAGCCACCUUGAGGGCCUUUUUGGUACUUCCCCCCUUGGCUUCUUGGAGAAGCCACCCUUAGGCUUGGCCUAUAAAUAGGGGUGGAGGGGGCUGCCUAAAGGAUCAUCCCUUCUCACAUACAAGUGCCAUGCAUGAUCUGGCUUCUCUCUCCCUCCCCGCGAAAUAGUUUCGUAGAGCCGAAAGGCUGUCUGGGUUCCGGCAGGAACUAGUUCUGGACGGCGAAGCCCUGCCGGAUAGAUGACACCGUAUGUGUGCAACUCUAUAGAGAGAUCGUAGUUUCGGUCUUAGUUCGUGAGUGCCUCCCGAAGCGCUGUCCAUGUGACCGUCCGAGUUUCGAAGGUCCUCACGAAGGGCUGUCCGAGUGACCGUUCGAGUUUCGAAGGUCCUCCCGAAGGGCUGUCCGCGACACCGUCCUGGGGGCUGUUCGACCGCCUCCCGGAGGGCUGUCUGAGGAGCAGAUGAGGGUAUACAUCCUCGCGGUUGGGAGGUUGUAAAUCCUAGCUGCGGGGAUCUGCACCGCCGAUCGUCAUCGACUCUACUUCCCGCUGCGCUACGAGUCGGUAACGAAAAAGAUCAAACCAUGUAUGCAGUCUCCAUAGUGGUCCGGGGCUGGUGCGUAGGUCGGAAAUUUUUUGUUUUCUGCUGCGUUACCCUACAGUGGCAUCAUGAGCCGUGCUAUGCGUAGAUGCAGGUUGCGAUCUAGAAUACAUAGAGAUGUAUGAGUAUUGCAUAAUAUAAUUAGGUAGUAGAUGAGAUCUAUUGCUAAAAAUUAUUUAUGCGGGUGACAGAUGAAAUCUGUUACCCGACGUUCUUGUUACUUCCCUAGAAUUUGCGUUUGCUCAAUCUCGAGACAGCAUGGUGGAAUUUGACAAAGUUCUGGCAAUCCGUGAUCCUGAUUGAUCAUGGAAGUGCUAUCAGUUCUUUGGGUUCUACCGUAGUCAAAAGAAAGAUGAAAUUCGCAGAUGAAAGGGCAUUGCAGAUAUGAUCUGCACGGGGGUCAUGCGUAUGACGAAGUUUAGUAUGGGGCUUGAGAUUUAAUUAUCUCGUGUUUCAUAUACCCCGAGAUGUUAAUCUAGCAACCUGAAUAAUCAUACUUGAUGAUAAAAUGUUGGUAGCUGCGGUUUAAGUCAAAACCUUAGAAGCCACGUAAAAUAAAUUUUGCAUAAACCGAUUAGAGGGGUCUAACUUGGUUUUGCAGGAUGUGCAUGUGAUGUGGUAUAGCAGUGCUCAUACUAAUUCGAUUAUGUAUGAGAUGACUAUAUGAUGUAAUUUGAUUAACAUGACCUGCGUGUCAUGAUUCGGCAUGAUGGCUGGAGCCAUAUGAUUGCACUUUAAUGACCUGCGUGUCAACCUUGUUGUAAUGCAUUAUUUUUUUAGCUAUAGAGAUAGCAAUAUUAUCUGGUGCAUCGACAAGGUGGCGGCAAUCUUCGCGAAGGUGAACACCGACGCGAAUGCCGAAGACGAAGAAAUGAAAUACUUCUCCGUCAGAAAGGGCUAUACCAUAUCAUGCUAUUAUGAAUUGCCUGAGAUGUUUAUCCCUUAUGAUGCACCCUUCUUGAUUGCGCGGUAGUCGCUUUUAUUAGGGUGAUCUCUCACUUAAAAUAUCAAGUAGUUAGUGUUCUCCCAAGUGUAGCACCGUCACGACACCUAUCUUUUCGGGGUGCGCCAUGGAUGCAUUGGUACGAACGAUUAGAGAAGUGUGAGGCGGGUGGGGUCAGACCUCGCAGCAAGAUCACUUGGUUGUCUUGACGUUCAUGGCAAGAUCGUCCUGAGCUCGGAACACACGCAUCGAAAGAUGAGCAAGAGUCACAUAGAGAUGUGAUCGGCAAGUUGGCCUACCAAUUAAAAUUCCCGUUAUGAGAUGAUGAUUCUAUGGCGAUGAAUUGAAGUCUGGAUCUUGUAUCACUCAAAAUUAAUUGUGAGAGAUAUUGAUUUGAGUGGGAGCACACUGUUGAAUCAACAUGUUUAAUUCUCAGUGCAAUUAAUUAUGAACACUGUCUAAGUGUUUCUUGCAUAAUAGUUGUAGAAUAAUGCCUCGCAUUUCCACCUUCCCUAUUAAAAUUGAAUAGCUGUUAAAUAUCUGGUUAAAACUUUAUGAUUGGUAACGUAAUAUGAGGAUUGUCCUCAAAAGUGCCGAGAAGGACUUUGUCCUAUCGCAUGCUUUCCGUAUCCUCCCGCUAAUGCUAUGGAUCAUGUGACUCUCGUCCUUCGGUCCAAAAGCUAGAAUUCUGUUACGGUCAAGUGGAAUAUGUUUGCUUCCAUGAAACCCAAACUUCGAAAGUUGGGAUAGUUAUAUGAUAUUCAUGGAACUGAAAAUUAUUUUCAGAUACAAACAAAGCAAUGUUUGUUUGCAAGUAUUAGUAAAAGUGUUUACUAUGCAUUUGACCGUUGGGAAAGGGAUCCAGCAGAACGCCUGUCAUAUAAUGAAAGGUGAAUAAAACAACAACUUAAAGAGAAAGGAAGUGUCCAAAGGGUGUUAGUAUGACUUACACGCCUAGGAAGUCCGGGGCUAAUGCCACUCUUAAGUUGGGUGCUUCUUCUGAGAGUAGGAGAAAUACUAAAAGUUAAACUGUUAGAAGUAUAAAGGCAAAAGGAAAGAAGACUGGAAUAUCCAGCUCAUGUAUGAAUGUCAUACAAGUUUUUGAUGUAUAGAAGGCUAGUCAAAGAUAUAGUUCUUGCGAAUUAUGGUUAAACAUGUUAAUCACUAAUUCUUGGGUAUUGUGAGUUCAUCACAAAAAUGCCCGCUCGAUUGCAUUCUGUUGCAACUCGAUGUAAGAACUACUAUGGCCUGAAAGACUAGCUAGAAAUGAGGUUAAGGUAUACACAGGGAACAUAGUAAAUGUUACUAUACCUUCCAUCGGUGUAUUGCCGUCUGUAUUUAUUUUCAUAAUUCAUUUAGAGUUUUACAAACUCUAUCCCAUUGCAUAAGGUAUCUUGCAAGAAGGUUGUUCAUAAGAGAACUUUGUAUGUUCGAUGUUAUGAAUAACACAAGGGCCAUACUUUCAUUAUGAAUGAGAUGUAUGUUAUGAAUAUUGAUAAUAAUACAAUACCUCUGGGUUUACUUUCAUAAUUCAUUUUAGAGUUUCAUACACUCUAGCCCAUUGCACAAUGUUUGUUGCAAAAGAGUUGUUCAUAAAAACAACAAUUGUUGUUAAGUAUUAUGAAUAACAUAAGGGCCAUACUUCCAUCAUCGAUGGGACGUAUGUUAUGAAUAUUGAGGGUAAUAUGAUACAUCCAUAACACUGACGCUAAAUGUCGCAAGACUAAAAGAAUACCACACAAGUGUGGCACUACAUUUGGUCACAUUGGAGAAACCCGCAUGGAAAAUUCCAUUAUGAUGGAUUUUGAAGUCUUUUUGAUUUUGAAUCAUCUGACACUUGCAACUUUCCUCCGAAAAGUGAAGUGACUAAAAUACCGUUCACAGGCCAUAAGGAACGAACAACAAACUUAUUAGUGAUCAUACAUUUGAUGUGUGUAGUCCGAUAAGUGUUGUUAGUGGUGGAUUUAUUUAUCUUCAGAAAUGACUCAAGUAGAUAUAUGGAUAUUUACUUGAUGAGACGUAAGUCUGGAUAUUUUGAAAUCAUUCGAAAGGUUCUCAAAAAUGAAGUAGAAGUUAUUGUAACAAGAAAAUUAUGUUUCUGCAAUUUGAUUGCACAAAGGAAUAUUUGAGUUACAUGUUUAGCGAAUGUCUGAUGAGUUGUGAAAGGGGUUUCAUAACUUGCACCUCCCGGAACACCACUGCAAGUGGAAAGUCCGUGGAGAUGUAAUCAAACCAUUUAUGACAUGGUAAGGUCAAAGAUGACAUAAAUAAAUUUGCCAUUAUCCCUUUUAAAGUGAUGCUUUAGAGACUGCGGCUUUUACACUGAAAAGAGUUACAUCGGGUGUGUUGAAAUGAAGCCAUGAUAUGGUAUGCCCAACCAUCUUAUAUCUUUUCUUAACAUUUGGAAUAUGGGGCUUGUGAAAAGGUUACAAACCUAUUCCAAAUCAGACAAGUGCUACUUUGUAGGUUAUACCAAAAUGUUGGGUAUUCCUCCCUCACUAUACCAAGGCAAAUACUUUUGCCGCGAAACGGUGUGCUUUUAAAGAGAAUGGUUCUUUCAAAAAGGUGAGUGGGAGAAUAGUGCAACUCGACGAGAUAAACAGUAUCUACGUCAUCAGAUCAAAGGAAAGAGACCUUGGAAGUAAUUCCAGAGUUUCCUACUGCGACUGAUACGGAAGUCUCUACAAUAAAAUGUAUGAACUUCGGUCGAACUUGCAGCUGAACCACGUAGGCAAGGCUCGUGCAAACCUCUCAGGUGCGCAAACGAGAUAUUGUUGUUAGACAACAUUAUACCUACGAUACACAAGGAAGCGUUGAUGGGCCCUGACUCCGGAAUUGGCUAAAUGCCAAUACAACCCGAGUUAGUUUCCAUAUAAGUGAUUCAAGAUUAAAACCUUGAUACACCUUUCGGAAGACUUAGAAUCUAAUGAAUAUUUAUGGAACUUAAAACUGAUACGGAUAAAAUGUUUUAUCCAUAAAGCUCAACUUGUUGAAAUAACAAGUUCAAGAGUUGACUACGAUGAGGUUGUUUUCAUCAUAGUGAUGCUUAAAGUCGGUUCGGGUUGAACUAGCAAUUAAUACAUAUUUCAAUCAUGAGAUAUGAAACAUGGAUGAUAAAAGGAUUUCCAUCUGAUGGAAAUGAAAGCUAGGACUUGUAUAUGAUACAGUCCAAAGGAAUUUGUCGAUCCAGAGGAUGCUAGUAGGUAUGCAAACUUCAGAGUUCCAGCAAUGGACAGAAGAGAGCAAAAUGGAGUUGGAAUCUUCGUGUUUUGAUGAAAUGGUCAAAGGGGUUUUGACUUCAUCAAUGGGUAACGAAGAUGCUUGUAAUUCAAGAAAGUAAGUGGGAGCGUAAUAAUAUUUCUAAAAACCUUAUGUGCUUGGCACAUUGGUAAUUGGAAAUAAAUUUCUUGACACAAAUUAGGUCUUCAUUUGAAAAUAGUUUUUCGAUGAAGUGCUUAGGCUAAAUAGCCUCAAUAUUAGGCAUGAUGAUCUAUGGAGAUAGAUUUACCUAAUGGGGCUAAGCAAUGAAUACAUAUUGACAAGAUGCUAAAACCUUUUAGCAUUUAAAACGCCAAGGAGUGAUUCUUGCCAAAGUCACAUGGAAAGAGUUUUUGCAAGACUCGGUGUCCCAAAACAGUGAUGAGUAAAAUAUAUGAUGCAGAUUCCACACACUUUUGUGUUUGGAUUAAUCAUGUAUUCCAUGGUAUGUAAAACAACCAGAUAUGUACGAUACUCCCAAGGUGUUGCGAGUAUGGAUACCAAAGUGAUCAAAUUACUGAUCAUGGGACAACAUUGAAAGAUGUCACAGAGUACUAGAGUAAGUACUGAUGACAUGGUUUUCUCGCAAGCAGAGAGCAUGAAGAGUUCGUUGUAAAAUGUUACAUCGAUACAGUCUUCAUCUUUUCUCCAUGCGAUUUUCGAUUUAAAUUAAGGGUUUUGUGUAACACACAAUGUGGUGGCACCGUUAGUUGGAAUUUGUUCAAACUAGUUACUGUGGCGAAUUCUAUAACAAGGGCUAAGUAUGUUGACGCUUUAGAAGCGACAAAGAAGAUGUUGAAUCAUAUAGUUCAUUCAUGAACUUAGUAUAGUUCCAAGAUGGCUUUUGACAAUGGGACACUACUGCAGGUAGUUGCUCCAUAACUCAGUCUGAGGAAUCCAGGUUCGACCUGUGAUUCACAUACAUACAAAGCCAAGUCCACACAAAAUAUGAAUUUUGUGAAUGUGAAAACGCGAGGACAUGCAAAGAUACACACGGAACUGAAAUCGUCAGAUCCGUUGGACAUCAGGCUAUACCACAAGCGAAGCAUAUUUACACCGGUGUGCCACAGGUGUGAAGUGCAUUAGCAUAAGCUAGAUUAUUGUCUCUAGUGCAAGUGGGAGUCUGUAGGAGAUAUGCCCUAGAGGCAAUAAUAAAUGUUAUUGAUUAUCUCCCUGUUCAUAAUUAUGUUUAUGUUCCAUGCUAUAACUGCUGUGGUUCCCGAGCCCGUAUAUCCAUAAAGGCUCUGGGGAGAACCCAUAUGCACGUGUGGAAUAAUAAACGGUAAAAUGUAUUCCUAGUCGUGCCUCUAAGACUAGCUCAAGUGUUGCAUGAUGAUUAUGUUUUCCCAAUCAUGGGCAUGUCUAUGCCAAGAAACUUUGAGGGCACAAUGUCAGGAAGGACAUUUGUGUUGAAUCGACCCGAAUUGAUGCUAUGCUAUGAGAUACAUUCGUCACAAGUUAAUGGUUUAUAACACAGAGAUAGUUAAUGUUUGCAUAAUUCCUUAGACCAUGAGAGUAUCGAGUUUCUUCAUGCUUGCUUCAUGAACUUUGGGGUUUGUUAAACGUCAUCCGUAACUGGAUGGCUAUUACGGCGGCUUACGGGUUCAUGGGAAAGUAUGUUAAGUAACUUGAUAGCUCGAGAUUGGGAUUUGCUCCUCCGACGAUGGAGAGAUAUACUCAGGCCCACUCGGUGUUACGGUGUCCAUCAUCGUCUGGCCAGACACUUUGUGAUUUGAUCACGGGGAUGCCGGAACACGAAACGAGAAAAGAGAACAAAACCGGUAACGAGGUAACUUGCAUAGUGGACAAAGUGUUGGCCCACGGGGAUGCAAUAAAUCUCACCUCAGGUGUUUGUGAUAUAUCGUGAAGCAACAGGAAUAGCUCACCUCAACUGGAGGUUCACUCGAAUAUUCAUUCGUGUGGGUAUAGGGGUCAAUAUGGGUGUCCACGGCUCCGAUGUUGAUCAUUGAUCGGAAGGGGUUCCAGGUCAUGUCUAUACUUCACCGAACCUAUAGGGUCACACGCUUAAGGGUCAUCUAUCUGCUGAAUACUAGACAGGGAGUCUGAGAGAAAAUCACCAAAAAAGUUUCGGACACCGAAAAGUUUCGGACAGCGGAAUCAUACCGCAGAGAGAGGUCACCGGAUGAGUUUCGGUGAAACCGAAAAAGUUGUUUCGGGGUAUGCCAUUAAGUCAAAAUGGUUUCGGCACAUGCCUGAUAAUUCUUGGAGGCUGCCAGAAUCAUUCUGGAAACUUUUUGGAAUUUUCAGAAAUAAAAACCGAAAAUGUUUCGGAGCUGCCGGUACCGCUUUGGCUGUUUUUCGCAGAUGAAAUUAACUAAUCUGAAAUUGUUUCAUAACGAAUCCAAAAUCAUUUUAGUGGGUACUGGAAUUAUUCUAAGACCCACAGAAAUAUUUUCGGAUUUAGUGGACGCGAAAAAUUGUCUUCAUGAAUAGUGAAAACGCAUUCUUGUUUGCUUUUCGCAGAUGAAAAUCACUAAACCGAAAUUGUUUCGGAACGCGUUGAAAAUUAUUUUAGUGGGUACUGGAAAUGUUCUGAGCCCACAUAAAUAUUUUCAGUUCGAACGGACGCUGAAAAAUGUCGUCAUGAAUAGUGAAAGUGCUUUUUGCUUGGCUUCUUGGAGAAGCCACCUUGAGGGCCUUUUUGCUAUUUCCCCCCUUGGCUUCUUGGAGAAGCCACCCUUAGGCUUGGCCUAUAAAUAGGGGUGGAGGGGGCUGCCUAAAGGAUCAUCCCUUCUCACAUACAAGUGCCAUGCAUGAUCUGGCUUCUCUCUCCCUUCCCGCGAAAUAGUUUCGUAGAGCCGAAAGGCUGUCUGGGUUCCGGCAGGAACUAGUUCUGGACGGCGAACCCUGCCGGAUAGAUGACACCGUAUGUGUGCAACUCUGUAGAGAGAUCGUAGUUUCGGUCUUAGUUCGCGAUUGCCUCCCGAAGCGCUGUCCAUGUGACCGUCCGAGUUUCGAAGGUCCUCCCGAAGGGCUGUCCGAGUGACCGUUCAAGUUUCGAAGGUCCUCCCGAAGGGCUUUCCGCGACACCGUCCGGGGGGCUGUUCGACCGGCUCCCGGAGGGCUGUCUGAGGAGCAGAUGAGGGUAUACAUCCUCGCGGUUGGGAGGUUGUAAAUCCUAGCUGCGGGGAUCUGCACCACCGAUCGUCAUCGACUCUACUUCCCGCUGCGCUACGAGUCGGUAACGAAAAAGAUCAAACCAUGUAUGCAGUCUCCAUAGUGGUCCUGGGCUGGUGCGUAGGUCGGAAAUUUUUUGUUUUCUGCUGCGUUACCCUACACAUCCGCACCGGCGCGGUGGCCUGCAGUCCCUGCACCCAGCAUAAGCUCUGAGACCUGGGAAAGACGCAAGAUCAGAUGUUCCGCACAACCUGAACAUGUGAGCUAUGAUAUUUCUCCCGACAUGUGUGUUGCUUCCGCUGGAUGAUGCUCUGUUGCCUUCCUAGCUGUCGUCAUCUUUCCUUCUCUUGCUGCUCGAUGAAGUUGGUCGUGAUGCUAGCUUUGCAUGUUAAUUUGACAGUCCCUAAAUUUAUAUCGGUCUACACACGUGUUUGUACCAAUGUUCAAGACCUGGCUGAUGAUAUAGUUUUAACUUAUAUUGAUCUGAUUAUGUAUACCUUUGGGGGGGGGGUAUAUGUAUGUAAGUAUACAUUAUUAAGUACUGGGGAAAAGAGGGGGAUGUAUUGUACCUCUAUGGAACAUCGUCUUUUAGCUGAAUCUAUAUGUUUAUUCAAUCUGAACUUGGAUGUUUUAUUUGGCUUGUACUCCCCCUGUAAAGAAAUAUAUGAUCGCUUAGAUCACCAAACUACCUUGUGAUUUCCUAUGCUGCAAACUGUAAUUAGUUUUCUUUAGCUUCAGACUUUGGUACUAUAGUUGGCUAAUGGCUAAUGCACUUAAUUGGGAUCAUUUCUGGUCUGAUAAUAAAUGCAUGUAUGUCUAAUUUGGAUCUUAACUAGAGCACCAACGUAUGCUUCUAACACCUCUGUGAAAAAUUAUCGCAACUGAAGUAUUGGACGCAUCUAUAUAUGGACAUCAUGCUAGCUUACUCCUUUGGUACAUACACAUGACAACUGAGAUUGGAACCCCCUUUUGUAGUGAUAAUCACCGUAAUCUGCAAUUGAUUCAGCAUCACUUGGGAAAAUAAGUGGGGAUAUUGUCAUAAAAAAUAUUCCAAUUUUGUGGAGCUUGACUAGCUGGGAUCAAUUCUUCCAUUCCACAGUCUGCUUUGUUACGAAGCAAUAACCCAUGUCUCCACAUGCUGCAGUUUCAGUUUCCUUGGAUGUUGCAAUGUAUAGUUCAAAACUUCAUCUGUGGAUUUGGUUUGGAUCACAAAGAAUUGGUAGACAUUUUUGCUAAUUUACUAGGCCCUUUGCAGCAGCAGAUUCCUUUUAAUGUAGAUAUGCCAUGCUUACAGUUUGACAUGAAUACUUCGUGUUGUGCUUCUUAGCUCUAAUAGUACUUUGUGUUUACUUAUACUAGCGGGCUGGGUCACUACUGGGAAAGGGAUUAUUGGUGAACCCUAAGGAGUGGCGGGCAUAGUGGGUAACCCGCCACAACUAUUUUUGAAAACAAGCAGUGGCGGGUAGCAAACACUGUCCGCCACAGCUAGAAGCUCACUUAGGAAAGGGGUUUGAAGAAAAUAUGUUGUCUGUGCAUUGUUUGCGAGAAUGAUGUUAUAUAAACAAUUGAAUUGGGAGAGUUGCAUAAGCACUUGUUGGCUGGUGGUUUCAUGCCCGGUUAUACGAUAUGGACAAGUCAUGGUGAGGAUGGGAUGUCAUGUGAAGGAGCGGAACAUGACGAGGAACAAGAAUGGAUGAUGGAUGGACAUGAUGAACAAUCUGACGGUGAUGAAUACGACGAGUCCGGUGAAGAGUCCGAUGAAAGUGAGGAGGCCGAAAUGGAGGAGGCAAUCAUCUAGGGCAAAUUGGCGGGAAUGGUGCACGAUGAACACAUGCAGGAGUUGAUCAUGAAAGAGACUAGCACCGAGGUAGCUUCUUGUAGAGAGGCUACCAAGCUGGCGACUCUUGUGAAGGACUUAACAGCCACUUUGUACGGUGGUUGCAAGGCAAAACACAAACGACUAAGUGUCACGAUGAAUCUUAUGGACAUUAAGGCAAAAAAAAUAGCACAGACACUUCCGUUGAUAUGAAUUUGAAGUAUUUGCAUGAUGUUCUUCCUAAAGGCAACGUGUUGCCAAAAAGUAUUGAUGAGGCAAGGAAGUUAUUGUGUCCUCUUGACAUGGAGCCGGUAAAGUACCAUACAUGCAAAAAUGACUGCGUAAUUUACCGGAACGAGUACUCCAACCUAAUAAGGUGUCCAACAUGCAAUUUUCCACGAUUCAGGCGGGGAAACAACAGUUGGGAAGACAAUGUUGAUCGUAGAGCACCCGCUAGCGGUACUCCUUAUAAGUUUGUAUCGUACUUUCCAAUCAUUCAACGCCUGAAGCGUUUGUAUGAAAACAAGAAGCAGGCAAAACUUAUGCUUUGGCAUUCUAAGAGGAAUAAGUAUGAUAGAGUGAUUAAACACGUUGCAGAUGGUCGGCAGUGGAAAGCAACCGAUGACGAGUUCCCUCAUUUCAGUGGAGAUGAUAGGAAUGUCAUGCUGGGCUAUAGUGUGGAUGGUCUGAAUCCCUUUAGUAACCAAAACAGCGCGCACAACACCUGGCCCAUGGUUGUCUGCAUCUACAACCUCCCCCCAUGGGUGUGCACGAAGAUAAAGUAUCUACACAUGGUCAUGCUAAUUCAACGGCCAAGCCAACCGAGUAGUGAUUUGAACUUGUAUCUGCAACUACUGAAGGAGGAGUUAGAAACUUUAUGGACAGAUGAGGGGGUGCGUACAUAUGUCGCUAAAACGGGUACGUAUUUCCUAUGAAAGUUGUGCUGCUCACGAUGGUGGAAGACUAUCCGGCAUACGGUUAUAAUUCGGGUCAAGUUUGUCACGAGAAGUGUGCAUGUGUUAGGUGCAUGGAUGAAACUCAUUCUCUAUAUCUGAAGGCCUCUCAUAAAACAGUUUACAUGAAGUAUAAGUCAUUGAAAAGAAACAUUUUGACAGAUUUAAUUUCCAGGCUUCUAAUUUUUUUUGCGGGAAACUUCGAGCUUUAUUCAACUAUACUCUGUUCCCGCACGAUCACCCAAAACGCUGGUCAUGAGGAAGCCAGGGGAAGUCCAUCCAGCAGUCGGUAAUCCCCAGGGUGCAAGCAUGCUUAGCACACAAGUGGGCCGACAUAUUGGAGUUUCUCGAUACAUGUUGAACAUCAAAAGAAAGAAAAGAUAAGGCUAGCUCUUCUAUUUCUAGUAAUAGCGGCGCUACGAUGGAGCGCGAAAACCGUCGUGAGUGCCAUAGCUGAACCAAUUCUAAGCAAUCUGUUUCCAUGAGCACUUGCGAAAAGCCUUGAAGCUGUGCGAAAAUCACCCCAUCUCGCAGAGCAGACGCCUCUGCUAUUAAAGGGUCCGUGAUGUGGGGGUAAGGUUUGCUCCAGGCGGCCAUGAAGGUCGAGGAAGUUCGUGCCACUCCUCCAUCUCCACUCCUAUGUUCAAGCACUGAAACACUAGCAUCUGUGUUUACCUUUACCCAGCCUUGAUCAGGUGGCCUCCAGCCAUAGCCAGGUAAAACCUUCGUCUGUUCCAAGGGGAGCUCCAGCAAGGCAAGAGCUUCUCUUAUACGUUUGAGAGAUUGCGCCGGAUUCAUACUUGCUCUGUCAUGCGUUAUAUUAUUGCGAGAGGUCCAAAUAGCCCACAUGACAGCGACAAUUUUCGCCCGACCACUCUCUGAAAACCGGGAGUCGCAAAGAAUAUCCCUGCACCAAGUCAUAGGAUGUAACUCUGGUAGCUUGACCUGCAGCCAAUUUCGAGCUUCUAUCCAGAAAGUUUGAGCAUGUGAACACUUGAUCAAUGCGUGCAUCAAAUCUUUAUCAGCUCCCAUGCACACCUUGCAACGUGCUAAGGUUGCAAUAUGCCUGUACUGUAGUGUGCUCUCCACCGGAAGGAUGCCACAGAGGACCCUCCAUAAGAACACACGCACCUUAGGUAGCACUUUAAGCUUCCAAAGUCGAGUCCAUAACUGCUUAUUAUUCUCUCAUGAUUCUGUAAUCGCCCCUUCCUUUAGUGUUGAAUGCUCGUUAUAAGUCAUUAGAGCACGAUACGCUGACUUCACAGUAUAGGAACCCGAUCUCUCAUGAUCCCAAGACCAAUAAUCAUCACCACCUCCUUGUCUAAGGGGAAUAUUCAAAAUAGUAUCAGCAUCCGGUGGUAUAAAAUUCUCUCAAACAAGGCCAGCUUUCCAGGACCAAGUCACAUCAUCGAUCAGGUCUGAAACUAGAUUGAUAGGUGCUGAACCGAUCUGUGAAGUGGGCCGCAAAGAAAGCUUGCCUGGCAGCCAUCCAUCCUGCCACACGCAGUGGACGAGCCAUUGCCAAUCCGCUUUAUCAGGCCAAUAUCCAGUGCCGCCCUCCCGGUAACGAUCGCUCGCCAGGUAGCCGAGGCGUUACUAGGAACAGUAGCAUGCAUGAAAUCCGUGUUGGGGAAGUAACUACCUUUUAACACCCGAGAGCAUAAUGAAUUCGGACCGGUGAUAAGCCUCCAGCCAUGUCUCCCUAACAAAGCAAUAUUGAAGCAUUCCAAAUCACGGAAUCCCAUUCCUUCUCUGAUUUUUGGAAGUGACAAGGACUUCCAAUCUAUCCAAUGUAGAGACCUUCGAUCUAUAGAACUGCUCCACCAGAACUUUGCCAUCGGUGAGGAGAUGUUUUUGUACACUUUUUUUCGUGAGUUUAAAGCAACUCAUAGUGUAUGUUGGCACCGCCUGUGCUCUUGCCUUGGUGAGCACUUCCCUCGCCGCGCAAGACACCAAUCUUUCUGUACCCCCAUUCAACUUUGACCUCACCCUUUCUCCAACGAAAUCAAAGGUGUCUGAGGUGAUCUGUCCAACUGCCGUGGGGAGGCCCAAAUAUCUCUCAUUGAACGCCUCAACUGAAAUACCCAUCGCAGUUUUAACCAUUGCUCGUACUGGACUAGGAGUGUUUGGACAAAAAAAUAUGGAGCUCUUCUCUUUGUUAACACACUGUCCCGAACACUCACCAUAAAUCCUGAGAAUGUUGUUUAAACGCUCUGCACUCUCCAGUUUAGCUUGCAUGAAGGUAAGACUAUCACCUGCAAACAGUAGAUGAUUAAUCCACGGUGACUAGGUGUACACUUGAAUCCCCUUGUCUGCAUACACUCCACCAUAUCUAUUUAAGAGUGUUGUGAAGCCCUCGGCACACAGAAGGAAUAGAUAAGGUGACAUGGGACAUCCUUGCCUGAAUCCCCUAGAAGGGGUGAAGAACGGCAACAACUCCCCAUUCACUCGAACCGCAAACCGCACUGAUGUUACACAUUUCAUAAUCAGUCGGAUAGAGAAUGAGCCGAAGCCCAACUUGGUCAUAAUCGCAUGAAGAUAAUGCCCAACUCCAGGCUUCUAAAUAUAGAGAUUUUUGUAUGCACUAUAUACGGAUGAUUUAUUGUACAAUAUACGACACGUACGUACAUUUUAGGGCCAUCUUAAAGGAGCUCUUCUUACCCUCAGCUACUGGACCUCCUCACUCGGUUAUGAUCUACGAUGACCCUCAUCAGGUGUACUACUAUUUAUAAUUCAUCUGAGUUUCUAUUCUUGUAUGGGUACCUAGAUGACCUGGCCUAUGUUCCUUAGCUCCACAAUCUCAGCGACUGAUAUAUCUUGAUAUUUACUUAUCAGACGUAACGUUAAUUACUGGCAUCAAUGUCUCCUGCUAACACAAGUCGAUGUGCAUGUACAUGAAUCAAAACAAGUAACAAACAAGUAAACCCAAUUGUAUAGAGCCAACAUAGCACCACAAAGGACCACCUCAGUAGGCACAAUCCUGCACCCCAACCCCUAGUACCUUAUAGCAAAUCUACUAGUCAUCAUAUUGGGAAAAUUCUAGCAAAAAAGGCUCUCUAGCAGAGUUGCCAUAUCUAGCAAAAUUGACAUGAUUUUGUAGAGCAUCCUCCAUAUUCGGCCUCCGAGCCCCAUAUUUGGAGUCUUGGGCUACCUUUUGGAAGACACUCCAUAUGGCUGUUCUGUGUGGCGGGAACAAAACCUCACAUGAUCCGUCACCUCACAUGGGAUCGAUAUUUUAAUUGGAGGAAAAUUGUAUUCCAUUGGCAUAUGGGUCCCUUGAUUAUGAAGGCCACAUUAUGGCGACUAUGUGUUUACGCACAACCUCGGUGGACUCCAUAAUUUAUAUGGAGCGCACACCAUAUGAAUACUGAGGCUCCCAAUAUGGCGACUCUGCUAGAGUUGCUCGCAGGAGGCAUGUAGUCUUGCCCACAAAUGAUCGCUAGGUUCAAGGAACGCAUCUGCUCGUCCAUGUUGCAUUCAGCCCGUAAAAUAAUCUCAAGUAAAACUUCUCGUUCCCCGCAUGACAGGACCCACACACUAGGAUUACACAUCGCGCGCCUCAGUCAUAAAAUGUCUCCCUAUACCCGUUGUUCCUUUUCUCCUGGAGACCAUGGCGAUCAUAGAACGCACCACGUGCGAUGUUACCGGGAGUGCUUCCCCAAUACCGACCAUUGGCGACCAUGGAGGACCAUCGUCGUACCCUCGCGAUUAUUGGGUCACCGUCGAGAUCCAUUAGUCGCUGGGAUCCAGUCCUACUGAUCUUCACCGCCGGUCGGAGCUUGCCAGAUGCUCCAUCUUCCGAUGUUCACCACCUCGUUCUCCGCCACCUUCCUCUUCCCUACAGUUUGUAGUCUGCUAAUUGAUGUCUGUGAUGAUCGACUCCAAGAGCAUUUUGGGUUGACCGGACCUCUCCUCCAUUGUUGACAAUGGGUUGCAUGGAAGGUUUUGAAUGCGUUGUUGUGCGCGCUCACAAUAGAUCCAACCCUGCCAGGGAUUUCAAGUGGUCUCUCCGGAGUAAGUCUAACCCAUUGGGUGGAUGUUAAGGUUUUGGUAAUAGGGUUUAGAGUGGAUUGAGUGUAAAAUUUCUAGGCAUUAUGGUAACUAUGAUACUAGUUUGUGACGACCCAAUAGGAAGGGAUCGCAGUCACACAACUGGAUUGCUAGGGAGGCAAAUGGUGAAGUUGGGGAAGAAAAUGUUGAGGAUUCAUAGAGAAUUUGAGAUGAGAACUACAAUGCGCAUUCCAUCUUUGUCCUCGUUCACCAUUGUGUUCAGCUUGAGUAACACACACCAACUCACACGGGUUAGGCCACAUUCGACGCCAACACUACACAACCCAUAGCCCGAAUCUUACUCCACUAUAUCGUUACUGGAUGCAUGUGUCGCAUACUGUAUGUUGAUGGAACGGAAGAGCAAAGAGAAGAUCUAGACCAUCUUCCACGCUACGCCGUUGGAAGCAAUGGACCAGACUAUGGACUACAGAUAUUCCUCCAAAAAUAUGUAACUUCGCCUCGAGGCUGGCAAAGCGUACCGCCAAAGUUAUUACAACCGGAUUAUAUCUCUCUCUGCACUUGGGUCUCUCUCUUCGCAUUAACGCGUUGAACGGCGGCGUAGUUCGCUUGACGGUGGAGCUACAGUGGGGCUGUGAGGUGUUCCCGGAUCCGUCCAAUGCCGUCAGCGGCGUCCUAUCUAGGCCCACUCCCUGUUAAACUCCUCGCUCCGGUACACCGACGCCAGAAUCUUGGCCUUCUUUGGCCCGACGGGAUGCGCCCCCCUCCUCUUCUCUGACAGUACAGCUCCCGCCCUGGCAUCGUUUCCCGCUGCCGCACGCAGUGGAGCCCGACGACGAAUAGGCGGAGAGCAGACGAGAAAGGGGCAACCAGGGCUACUGCCACGACGUACUCCUCGUAGGCGCCAUUGUCUCCAUUGUGCCCAACGCUAUGCUGCCCCCGGGGGCCUCCUUCUCUGACGUAUCCAAGGCGACCCCAACUUCGCCCACGCUUGCCAAUCGGCGCUCUGCUCCACACCGACCACCUCCUUCCACGCCCGCUUCUCCGACGCCACCGCACAAACGCACACGCCCCACGGGCUGCUCCCAUCCAUGGCCUUCUCCAGCUCCCGGUGCGUGCUGGUGCAGAGCCAGUGGGGAAGCACAUCGUCGAGCUGAGCGGGGCUGGAUGCCCUGCUUGUGUCGCCCCUCUCGAGACACCGGACAACCUGAUCUUUGGGUGCCCGUUUGCGCACGAGUUCUGGGCUGCGCUGCGCCUGGGCAGCUCUGGACGCUCCGUGCGAGAACUGCAUCUCUUCGACGUGAGUAAAUUGCUCAAAGCCAUCACAUUUGUUGCUAGAAUACUGCAAAACUACCGCUUUUGCCAAAAAUUACGAAAAACCAUCACUUUUAUGGCAAGUGAGUAACAAUUUCCACUAAUUCAAAACUGAACCGCAACUAAACACAAAACUGACCGAUCGGACCCACAUGUCAGACCGACGUGGCAUAUCUACAUAGACAAUACGCUGAGGUGGCAAGAGUCUCACAUGUCAGCCCCUCACCUUAUUUUUCUCUCUCUUAUUUUCCUCUGGUUCUUCUCUCUCUCAAACUUCCCUCUCCCUGUCCCGUGUGCACGACCCCAUGCCAUGGAGCUUCGCCGUUGCCGGCACACCGCCGGACUCCAGAUCCGACCGGAAUCGGUCUCCCGCCUCCAGAUCUGACCUCUGCCGCUGUUUCCCGUCCGAAACGGGGCCCAACCACCGCCGCCGAUUGGACUGAAACCCCACUGCUGCAGGGACCCUACAUCGCCGCCGUCGUCGAUUCACUAUUGGUCGGCCGCGACGGGAGCAUAUGGCGUCGAGGAGCCACUCCACCAGGGCUCGUGGCUGGCCAUGACCGCGUCCGCCGCCUCGCGGUUGGGCACGGCUGCGUCCGCCGCCGCCUUGUCAGAGCGGACUGGGGCGCGGGCACACGCCAGCUCGGCCUCGCCGGAGCAGGCAGGGGGGUGGGCGCGCCGCGAGGAGUAGGCAGGGGCGCGGGAGCGCGCGCGACGUGGAGCAGGCAGGGGACGGGCAUGCGGUGCUCAGCCUCGCCGGAGCAGGCAGGGGGCGGGUGCGCGGCGAGGAGCAGGCUGGGGGCGGGAGCACGCGACGAGGAGCAGGCAGGGGACGGGCGCGUGGCGAGGAAAAGGCAGGGGGCGGGAGCGCACGCGACGAGGAUCAGGUAGGGGGGCAGGCAUGCGGCAGCUCGGCCUUGCCGGAGCAGGCUCGCCGGAGCAGGAAGGAAGGACAUGAGAGAGAGAGAGAGGAGAUAAGAGGUGUGGCAGACAAGUGGGAUCCAUGUCCACCUCAGCGGGUCAAACAUUGGCUAGGACUAGUCUUUGCUACAUCAGCCCAGACAUGUGGAUCCACUAGUAGAAAACUGGGCUUUGGUCACAGGGCAAUAUUCACAUUAGUCCCGGUUCAGUCACGAACCGGGACUAAUGUGAGCAUUGGUCCCGGUUCGUGCAGCCAGGGGCCUGCCGGGCCUCGUGGGGGCAUUGGUCCCGGUUCGUUCGGACCCUUUGGUCCCGGUUGGUGGGACAAACCGGGACCAAUGGGCCACGCUCCUGGCCCACCACCCUUUAGUCCCGGUUCAUACCACAAACCGGGACUAAAGGGCUGGUCCUAGUUGCGGCCAGUGUUUAGUCCCACCUCGCCAACCGAAGCGCGCUCACACCAGUUUAUAAGCCCGUCCCUCUCUGCCUUGUUGAGCUCCUCUUAAAAUGAAAAUAGAUGCCCUUAUACCGGGAAUUUGACCUAAAUUCACAGUAAAUUUCAUAGAAAUUUAUUAUGAAUUUAGGUUGAAUUUCCUCUAUAAGCUCAUCUAUGUUCAUUUUUUAUAGUAAAUAAAAUAAAUAAACCUUAAUAAAAUAAAUAAAAAUAAUAAACCUUAAUAAAAUAAAAUAAAAUAAACUAUAGUAACUAAAAUAUAUAAACCUUAAUAAAUUAAAUAAAAAUAGCAGCAGUAAAAUAAAUAAAAAUAGCAGCAGUAAAAUAAAUAAAAAUAAAAUAAUUAAAGUAAAAUACAUAAGUAAUUAGAAAUAAAAUAAAUAAGUUUUUUGUUGUAAGUAGAAACAAAACAAAACAAAUAAAGCAAAAGAGAAAACGAAAAACAGAGGAAAAAAAUUAUGCCACCUACUAGGCCACCACGGCCUGAAUACGACUUGAAACCCAUCCGUGGGCCAGGAUUCAGGCCCGCAGAAGGCCCAGUAGGCCCCACAGGCAAAGUGAACGGUUAGGCCCGAAAGCCUGCAGUUGAGAGGAGCUCGAGAGGGUGGGCGCAGCAGCGCUUAUAAACCACUCUCGAGCCCUCUCAACUAGCGAGGUGGGACUAAACUUUUGACGCGGGGCAGCACAAGGCCUUUGAUCCCGGUUGGUGCCACCAACCCGGACUAAAGGGGGCAUUGGUCCCGGUUUGUGGCACCAACCGGGACCAAAGGCCUUUAUUCCCGGUUGGUGCCACGAACCGGGACCAAAGAGUUCCCUAUAUAUACCCCAUCGCCACAGCAAAGCACUCCACAGUGCUCUGUUUUUUCUGGCCGACGAGGGAGGGCAUUUGGGUGCACUAGCUCACCUCCUAUGCACAUGAGGUGUUUGAUGAAAUGUCUGAGCCACACUAGUUAAUCUUUCUCCUCUCGAAACUCGACCUCCGAGCUCCAUUUUCCCCGAGAUUUGUCUAGGUUUAGCGGUCCGUCACGUCCCGUCCCCGUCUUCACCGCCGUCGAUCGCCAGCGCCGAUCUCGUCGCCAGCACCACCGUGGUGAGCCUCUUGUUCUUAUCUUCUUUCUGAAAGGAAAAAAAAUUCUUACUUUAGAUAGUUACUUGUCUAAUUUUGUUACUUUUAUUAUUCCUUCUUAUUACAUAGUACGAUGGUUUUGGUAUCCGCCCCCGUCGGCCCUCGUCCUGUCUAUGAUUCGGAUGUGGUAUAUAUUAUCUUUUUAUAACUAUUUGGUUCAUUUAUUGUUUAUGACAAAUAUACCGACCAACGUGACAUAGAUUUUAUUUAUCUAGGAGGUGGUUGAACCGGAAAUUCUAACCGACCCUAUUGUCGAGAGGUUAAAUUUAGUUGAAGAAGAAAACAAUUACUUGAAGGAAAAAAUAAAAAAAAUUGAGGAGGAGAAGAUGAUAUUGGAGUUGCAUGUUGCGGAUGUCGUCGAUGAUCACAAGAUCAAGAUGGAUGCAAUGCGCUUGAAGAUUAGAAAGAUUAGAAAAUGUGCCAUUCAUACCGAGGCUUGUUAUCAUUAUGCCGUUGGAUCAAUUGUUACCUUGGUUGCGAUUAUGAUCGCAUUUGUUUUCGCAUUGAAAUGUUUUACAUAGUUUCAAUGUAUGGUUUAAUUAAUUAGAUGCUCUGGAGAGCUAUAUAUAUGUUGUUAGAUGAGAACUAUGUAUGUACUUUGGUUUUAAUGUGAUGAUGAACUUCUAUUAAUUUGGUCACUUAAUUAUCUAUUCAUGAUGUUCUGUAAUGGUUUUUGACACACUUAAUUAUAUAUAAUGCACGCAGAUGAACCGGCAAUGGAUGUACGGUGACAGACACACCUCCGAGUACAUUAAGGGCGUGCAUGAUUUUCUCAAAGUGGCUAAGGCAAACAAGCAAAAUGGUUUUAUGUGUUGUCCAUGCCCUAUAUGUGGGAAUACGAAGUCUUACUCUGACCGGAAAAUCCUUCACACCCACCUGCUUUACAAGGGUUUCAUGCCACACUAUAAUGUUUGGACGAGGCACGGAGAAAUAGGGGUUAUGAUGGAAGACGGCGAAGAAGAAGAGGACGAUGACAACUAUGUGCCCCCUGAAUACGGUGAUGCUGCAACGGGGGAAGCUGCUGAAGAUCAAAAGGAACCAGACGAUGUGCCCAAUGAUGCUGCAAGGGGGAAAGUUGCUGAAGAUCAAGAGGAACCAGUGCCCGAUGAUGAUGAUCUCCGCCGGGUCAUUGUCGAUGCAAGGACGCAAUGCGAAAGUCAAAAGGAGAAGCUGAAGUUCGAUCGCAUGUUAGAGGAUCACAAAAAAGGGUUGUACCCCAAUUGCGAAUAUGGCAACAUAAAGCUCGGAACCGUACUGGAAUUGCUGCAGUGGAAGGCAAAGAAUGCUGUGCCUGGCAAAGGAUUUGAGAAGCUAUUGAAAAUAUUGAAGAAGAAGCUUCCAAAGGAUAACGAAUUGCCCGACAGUACAUACGCAGCAAAGAAGGUCGUAUGCCCUCUAGGAUUGGAGGUGCAGAAGAUACAUGCAUGCCCUAAUGACUGCAUCCUCUACCGCGGUGCGUACAAGGAUCUGAACGCAUGCCCGGUAUGCGGUGCAUUGUGGUAUAAGAUCAGACGAGAUGACCCUGGUGAUGUUGACGGCGAGCCCCCUAGGAAGAGGGUUCCUGCGAAGGUGAUGUGGUAUGCUUCUAUAAUACCACGGUUGAAACGUCUGUUCAGAAACGAAGAGCAUGCCAAGUUGAUGCGAUGGCACAGUGAGGACCGUAAUAAAGACGGGAAGUUGAGAGCACCCGCUGACGGGUCGCAGUGGAGAAAAAUCGAGAGAAAGUACUGGGCUGAGUUUGCAGCUGACCCAAGGAACGUAUGGUUUGGUUUAAGCACGGAUGGCAUUAAUCCUUUCAGGGAGCAGAGCAGCAAUCACAGCACCUGUCCCGUGACUCUAUGUAUGUAUAACCUUCCUCCUUGGAUGUGCAUGAAGCGGAAGUUCAUUAUGAUGCCAGUUCUCAUCCAAGGCCCUAAGCAACCCGGCAACGACAUUGUUGUGUACCUAAGGCCAUUAGUUGAAGAACUUUUACAGCUGUGGAAUGGAAACGGUGUACGUACGUGGGAUGAGCACAAACAGGAGGAAUUUAACCUGCACGCGUUGCUGUUUGUAACCAUCAACGAUUGGCCCGCUCUUAGUAACCUUUCAGGACAGACAAACAAGGGAUACCACGCAUGCACGCACUAUUUAGAUGACACUGAAAGUAUAUACCUGGACAAAUGCAGGAAGAAUGUGUACCUGGGCCAUCGUCGAUUUCUUCCGACCAACCAUCAAUGUCGAAAGAAAGGCAAGCAUUUCAAAGGCGAGGCAGAUCACCGGAAGAAGCCCGCCAUGCGUACCGGUGAUCACGUACUUGCUAUGGUCAAUGAUUUACACGUAAUCUUUGGAAAGGGUCCCGGCGGACUUGCUGUUCUGAAUGACGCUGAGGGACACGCACCCAUGUGGAAGAAGAAAUCUAUAUUUUGGGACAUACCCUACUGGAAAGAGCUAGAGAUCCGCUCUUCAAUCGACGUGAUGCAUGUGACGAAGAACCUUUGCGUGAACCUGCUAGGCUUCUUGGCCGUGUAUGGGAAGACAAAAGAUACACCUGAGGCACGGGAGGACCUGCAACGUUUGCAUGAAAAAGACGGCAUGCCUCCGAAGCAGUAUGAAGGUCCUGCCAGCUACGCUCUUACGAAAGAAGAGAAAGAAAUCUUCUUUGAAUGCCUGCUCAGUAUGAAGGUCCCGACUGGCUUCUCGUCGAAUAUAAAGGGAAUAAUAAAUAUGCCAGAGAAAAAGUUCCAGAACCUAAAGUCUCAUGACUGCCACGUGAUUAUGACGCAACUGCUUCCGGUUGCCUUGAGGGGGCUUCUACCGGAAAACGUCCGAUUAGCCAUUGUGAAGCUAUGUGCAUUCCUCAAUGCAAUCUCUCAGAAGGUGAUCGAUCCAGAAAUCAUACCAAGGCUAAGGAGUGAUGUGGCGCAAUGUCUUGUCAGUUUCGAGCUGGUGUUCCCACCAUCCUUCUUCAAUAUCAUGACGCACGUCCUAGUUCAUCUAGUCGACGAGAUUGUCAUUCUGGGGCCCGUAUGUCUACACAAUAUGUUCCCCUUUGAGAGGUUCAUGGGAGACCUAAAGAAAUAUGUCUGUAACCGCGCUAGGUCAGAAGGAAGCAUCUCCAUGGGCCAUCAAACAGAGGAUGUCAUUGGGUUUUAUGUUGACUUCAUUCCUGGCCUUAAGAUGAUAGGUCUCCCUAAAUCGCGGUAUGAGGGGAGACUGACUGGAAAAGGCACGCUUGGAGGGGACUCAAUAAUAUGCAGGGACGGAUAUUCUUGGUCUCAAGCACACUACACAGUUCUACAGAACUGUACCUUGGUGACCCCGUAUGUCGAGAACACAAGAACCGUCUGCGCUCCAAACACCCGGAGCAGUGUGACGACUGGAUUACAUGUGAACACAUCAGGACUUUCAGCAGUUGGUUGGAAACACGUUUCAGAGGUGACACCACUGUUUGUGAUGAGUUGUACUCGUUGUCCAGGGGACUAUCUUCGACUGUAUUGACUUACAAAGGAUACGAGAUAAAUGGGAAUACAUUUUACACGAUCGCCCAAGAUCAAAAGAGCACCAACCAAAACAGCAGUGUCCGCUUUGAUGCAGCAACCGAGAGGGGAAAGGACACAUAUUAUGGUUACAUAAUGGACAUAUGGGAACUUGACUACGGACAUGAUUUUAAGGUCCCUUUGUUUAGUGCAAAUGGGUCAAUCUGUCAGGAGGCGGGGUACAGGUAGACCCACAGUACGGAAUGACAACAGUGGAUCUGAACAAUCUUGGGUACACUGACGAACCGUUCGUCCUAGCCAAUGAUGUGGCACAGGUUAUCUAUGUGAAGGACAUGUCUACCAGACCGAGAAAAACAAAAUAUAAGGAAGCGAAUACAUCAUACGAUGAGCCAAAGCGCCACAUAGUUCUUUCAGGAAAAAGGGACAUUGUGGGAGUGGAGGGCAAGACAGACAUGUCUGAAGAUUAUGAAAAGUUUCAUGAAAUUCCUCCCUUCAAAGUCAAGGCUGACCCAAGCAUCCUGAUAAACGAUGAAGAUUAUCCAUGGUUACGGCGCAAUAAGCAAAUGACACAAGCGAAGAAAAAGUGAAGACUUUCUCCUGUAACUAUUAUGAUGAUACCAUGCCAACUUUGUAACAGACGAGUAUGAUACCAUUGUCCGUUUUGUACACGAAGUGCAUCUAGUUUUUGCCGUAACCCUCUCAACUUUCUUGCACAUGCUAUGUGGAUGAAAUGAUGAUACCAUGCCAACUUUCAACCUUUUCAGAGUUCAUUUGAAAUGGUUUUCAAUUUUAGGGUCUUAUAGCUCAAAAUAAUUAGUAAAUGCAUGAAAAAUAACAGGCCAAAAAUUAAAAAUUAUGCCACCUACUGGGCCACCACGGCCUGAAUACGAUUAGAAACCCAUCCAUGGGCCAGGAUUCAGGCCCGCAGAAGGCCCAGUAGGCCCACAGGCAUGUACAGAGAGGUUAGGCCCGUAAGCCUGCUUUAGAGAGGAGCUCGACAGCUCAGGCACACCGCACCUUAUAAACAGGUGCGGCUCUCUCUCAGCUAGCGAGGUGGGACUAAACUCACCACCACGCCGCUGUGCAAGGCCAUUGGUCCCGGUUGAUGGCACGAACCGGGACCAAUUCCACCCUUUGGUCCCGGUUGGUGCCACGAACCGGUACUAAUGAGGCUGUGGCCCCACGAGCACCUUUAGUACCGGUUCGUGGCACGAACCGGUACUAGAGUUUCUUACUAAGCAGUUUUUUAGUCCCGCCUCGCUAGCUGAGAGGCACUAGGAGCGGUUUAUAAGCCCUGAGUGCAGAGACGAUGAAGAAGAGGCGCAAUGCUCACGUUGCUUAGCUUCAAGCCUUGAGGAAUAAGGUAGACUGCAUGGAGCUAUGUGCAGUGCAGUCUACACUAUUCCGAAAGGCUUGAAGCAAAUCAACGAGCAUUGCGCCUCUUUUUUAUUUUAAUAACUUAUUACAACUCCAGAGUUCUUGUGUUCCGACAAAAUAAAAUAAACUUUAAUAAAAUUUAUGAAACUAAAAUUAACAAAGUUUUUUCUGUUCAAAACAUUAUAAGAAACCUCUAGUAUUAUUGAAACUAAAAUCAUAUAAAAUUGAUGCAACUAAAAUUAUCGAAGUAUUUUCUGUUCAAAAUCAUUAAAAGCAAAAAGAAUUUUCAUAAAGAACUUUUUUGAUAGAAACUUUAAUAGCAAAAAGAAUUAUCAUAAAUUAAAAUAAAUAAGUAAUUAGAAAUAAAAUAAAAUAAAUAAGUUUUUUGUUGUAAGUAGAAACAAAACAAANNNNNNNNNNNNNNNNNNNNNNNNNNNNNNNNNNNNNNNNNNNNNNNNNNNNNNNNNNNNNNNNNNNNNNNNNNNNNNNNNNNNNNNNNNNNNNNNNNNNNNNNNNNNNNNNNNNNNNNNNNNNNNNNNNNNNNNNNNNNNNNNNNNNNNNNNNNNNNNNNNNNNNNNNNNNNNNNNNNNNNNNNNNNNNNNNNNNNNNNNNNNNNNNNNNNNNNNNNNNNNNNNNNNNNNNNNNNNNNNNNNNNNNNNNNNNNNNNNNNNNNNNNNNNNNNNNNNNNNNNNNNNNNNNNNNNNNNNNNNNNNNNNNNNNNNNNNNNNNNNNNNNNNNNNNNNNNNNNNNNNNNNNNNNNNNNNNNNNNNNNNNNNNNNNNNNNNNNNNNNNNNNNNNNNNNNNNNNNNNNNNNNNNNNNNNNNNNNNNNNNNNNNNNNNNNNNNNNNNNNNNNNNNNNNNNNNNNNNNNNNNNNNNNNNNNNNNNNNNNNNNNNNNNNNNNNNNNNNNNNNNNNNNNNNNNNNNNNNNNNNNNNNNNNNNNNNNNNNNNNNNNNNNNNNNNNNNNNNNNNNNNNNNNNNNNNNNNNNNNNNNNNNNNNNNNNNNNNNNNNNNNNNNNNNNNNNNNNNNNNNNNNNNNNNNNNNNNNNNNNNNNNNNNNNNNNNNNNNNNNNNNNNNNNNNNNNNNNNNNNNNNNNNNNNNNNNNNNNNNNNNNNNNNNNNNNNNNNNNNNNNNNNNNNNNNNNNNNNNNNNNNNNNNNNNNNNNNNNNNNNNNNNNNNNNNNNNNNNNNNNNNNNNNNNNNNNNNNNNNNNNNNNNNNNNNNNNNNNNNNNNNNNNNNNNNNNNNNNNNNNNNNNNNNNNNNNNNNNNNNNNNNNNNNNNNNNNNNNNNNNNNNNNNNNNNNNNNNNNNNNNNNNNNNNNNNNNNNNNNNNNNNNNNNNNNNNNNNNNNNNNNNNNNNNNNNNNNNNNNNNNNNNNNNNNNNNNNNNNNNNNNNNNNNNNNNNNNNNNNNNNNNNNNNNNNNNNNNNNNNNNNNNNNNNNNNNNNNNNNNNNNNNNNNNNNNNNNNNNNNNNNNNNNNNNNNNNNNNNNNNNNNNNNNNNNNNNNNNNNNNNNNNNNNNNNNNNNNNNNNNNNNNNNNNNNNNNNNNNNNNNNNNNNNNNNNNNNNNNNNNNNNNNNNNNNNNNNNNNNNNNNNNNNNNNNNNNNNNNNNNNNNNNNNNNNNNNNNNNNNNNNNNNNNNNNNNNNNNNNNNNNNNNNNNNNNNNNNNNNNNNNNNNNNNNNNNNNUCUGCCCCUGCCCCGACCACGCCGCCGUCGCCUCUGCGCCUGCCCCGACGCGCCGCCGUCGCCUUGGUCAGGGCCGGCACUGCCCCCUAAUUCCUCCCUGUUUUUUCUGCACAUUUAUAUGCUUAUAUGUAUAUGUAUGAGUAUAUGUAUGUGUGUAUAUCUGUUUAUAUGUCCUUUUAUUAGAUCUUUUUUUUGCAUUUUCUCUGUGUAUAUGUAUGUAUAUAUGUUCUCUGUGUAUAUAUAUGUUCAUAUAUAUAUGCAAAAGAUAGAUUUUUAGAAAAGUUAGGAUUUUUUUCUGUUCAUAGAUUUUUUUGGUGAUAUUAAUUAUUGUAGAAUAUGCAAAUGUUUGUAUAUUCAUAUGAACAAUGCAUUAGGCAAAACCUUUACUUUUUUUUGAAAUUUUCUAUUUGAACAUUUUUUAUGAAUGAGAGGAAAAAUGAAAAUAAGAAGAGGAAGAAAGGAGAAGAAGAGGAGAGGAAGAAGAGGAGAAAUAAAUAAGAAGAGGAAAAAAGAAAAAAAGAAGAGGAGAAGAAGAAAGGAAUAGAACAGAAGAAGAAAAAAUAGAAAAAACUCUCUUCUCUCCUCUAUUCCUUUCUUCUUCUCCUCUCUUUUUUUCUUCUUUUUUUUCUUUGAUCUUCUCCUCUAUUCCUUUUCUUCUUCUCCUCUUUUAGUUUCUUCUUCGUUUUCUUGUGUUUUAUCGGGUCUGUCGUCGUCGAUAUACCCCUCUCCCGAUAACUUCAACACGAGGGGGNNNNNNNNNNNNNNNNNNNNNNNNNNNNNNNNNNNNNNNNNNNNNNNNNNNNNNNNNNNNNNNNNNNNNNNNNNNNNNNNNNNNNNNNNNNNNNNNNNNNNNNNNNNNNNNNNNNNNNNNNNNNNNNNNNNNNNNNNNNNNNNNNNNNNNNNNNNNNNNNNNNNNNNNNNNNNNNNNNNNNNNNNNNNNNNNNNNNNNNNNNNNNNNNNNNNNNNNNNNNNNNNNNNNNNGAUAACUUCAACACGUGGGGGGGGGGUCGAUAUACCCCCUCCCCGAUAACAUUAUUUUCCCAUGUAUGUAUGUCGUCGUUGUCGAUAUAUAUAACUCCCUCCCAGAUAACUUCGACAUGAUGGACGGUCGAUAUUUAUACCCCCUCUCGGCCGUGAUAACUUAUACCACGGGAGCACCCCCCGACGCUCUCGCUCGACCAAAACUCUCGAUCACACCCAAACCAUAGAAAAAAACGAUGUCGGUCUCCUACCCCCUCCCGCCGCGCCCCUACCCUUGAAGCGUUGCUGAGGCCACCCCAAAUCCGGAAUAAGCUAGGUCUACGUUUGCACUAACCACCUGCUGUCAUGUUUGUGUAAUAAUUGCCAUGUUGUAAUAUUUGCAGAAACAAUGGAGCACGGACGAGACGAGCAAGCAGAAGAGGUGUUGGGGGACAUAAUCUUAGCCGGAGGUGAUAUCUUGUCGUAUCUUAACGUCAAUGAUGGUCUGGAAGAACAGGGUGAAGAAGCAGGCUACGGUGAUCGAAGAGUGGAGGAGGGAAGACAUGAUUAUGAUGGCUCCGGUGACCCAAUGUUGGUGCAAGAAGGAGCCCGUGAUGACGGCUCCGGUGACCGAACAGAGUCCGGCCAGGUAAAUAUAUUAGUUAAGCCUGUGCUGACUAGCUAAUUGAUGCAUUCAUUGUUUUGGCAUGUACACAUAUUAAUUAACACUCGUCUUUCUUCUUUUUUUCUAGCCCUCCGGAUCGAGCACAACUGCGGUAAAGAGACGAGGCCCGAAGAGAAAGUUGCGCUCGGAUGAAAGGUUUGAGAUCCAAGCAAUCGCGCGCGACGGCCAAUCGAUUGAACCCAUCCGGACAAAGGAUGCAUUUGCUGCUCAGUGCGGGGUUCUAGUUAGGGACAAGAUCCCGAUCAGCAUCCACCAAUGGUAUAAGCCUAAGAAGGAAGACCCUGAGGUGUCUUAUGUCAAUGAUAUGCAGAAAGAUGAUCUUUGGACUGAGCUGAAGGCAAAUUUCACCCUACCGCCAGAGGAGGAUCCGGAGAAGCCAGUUAAAGAGCAAUUAAUCAAGUCUCAUGCUCUUAAGAAGAUGGCAGACCUAUUCAGGAGGUGGAAGAAUGAGCUGAAAACGUUUGUCGACAAAGAAGAGACACCAGAAUUCAUCGGCCGGUAUGAGAAGAUCAGAGAUCACUGGCCCGCAUUUGUGGCUCGCAAGACAUCGGAAAAGAGUAAGAAGAUGUCAGCAACAAACAAGAAAAAUGCUGCGAAGAAGAAGCUUCACCAUCGCACGGGGUCAGGUGGCUACCUCAAAGCCCGGCCUAAGUGGGCCAAGGCUGAGAAUGAUCUGCUUGAAAAAGGGUUCGAACCACAGACAAUGAACUGGACAGACCGUUGCUGGACUUGGUUCUUCGGGGCUGGCGGAACCUUGGACCCUGUAUCAGGGAGGUGCGUUUGGACGAACGAGCUUUUGAGAAUACCAGUCAAGAAGAUUCAGCAAUAUAUCGAUGCAGCGCAGGAAGGGACGUUCGUUCCAGACAGAGAGAACGACGAGCUCACAAUGGCCCUCGGGAAUCCUGAGCACCCUAGACGGACACGAGGCACGCCAGGCUCCGUUCCGUGGAAGGCUGGUUUUCCGGACGCAGGCAGUUACAAAAGCCAGGACAGGAGGAAAAAAUAGAGCAGACCCAAAUUCAGAAGCUGCACGAAAGGGUUCAAGCGCUAGAGGAACGAGACAGCAAUCGACAUGCCGAAACUACCCCCAAAGCUACCCCGCCAUCUCAGCGGAGAAGCAGCGUGGCUUCCACCGAGCUGCUUCAGCUGGAGCAUGUCUUGACGGCUCCUGCUAGCUACCCCGUGGAUGCUAUCACGGAGUCUCAAUAUUGCCACCUUAUGGCGCAAUGGCAGAACUUCAAAGUCAAGGCGGCUGUUGGCUCUGUUUUACCUCCUAAACCCGGCGCAACCUACCAUUGCCGGCCGAUUCCAGAAGGAUAUGCUAGGGUGAUGGUGGAUGAAAUAAUGGAGGGAUUUGAGGACCUCCAGCUUGACCACCCUACCGGUGAAGGGGAGACUCGGCUGGGUUUAGCUCUGAAGACUCCGUGCCUAUGGCGGAAGGAGCUCAUCAACCUUCCGAACUGGACGGCUCCGGCGAGUAAGGGCAGUCCGCCUCCUCCUCCGCCUCCUCCUCCGGCGAGUGAGCAGGGCACUCAGCCUCCUUCUCCGGCGCGUGGCGGCACUCCGCCUCCGCCUCCUCCUCCGGCGAGUGAUCAGGGCACUCAGCCUCCUUCUCCGGCGCGUGGCGGCACUCCGCCUCCUUCUCCGCCUGCGCCGGCGCGCCAGAGCAGCUAGCCUCCUCCUUCUCCGCCUCGUCAGCAAGGGCGGAAGAGACCCGCCGCCGCUGCGGCUGCUCCGGCGCGUCGUAGUCCUUCUCCUCCGCCUCACAAGCAAGGAAAGAAGACAGCCGCAGCCGCUCCGUGUGCUCUGCCGGCGUCUAGCAGUACAGCUGCCAGAGGCGGGAGGCAAUACAGAUUCGGUCCUUCUCUGAAGACUCCAGAGAAGUUACCAUACGAGAGGACCGAGGAGGAAACCAGGAAGAUCGUGCGAGCCGAAGUGACAAACUUCUUUGAAGGGGUGAAAGCAAAGAAACAUCCACCUCCGGAGGAGAAGGUAGAUCCGGUGAAAGCAAAUCGCACUCUGGCUGCCCUGACAAAACCACCAAAGUCUCCGCUGAGAGGCAACUAUGAGCGCAUUCUUGCAAAGACAUAUGCCGAAGCGGAGCGGUCGGGAAGUACUGUCAGUGAUCAAAGGUUAAACGAACGACGAGCUGGGAAAAAAAUUUGCCCAGCUCGGCGAACAAGCGAACCAAUCGUGCCCCCCGCUCAAGGUGUCAAAAGACAUCGUCGCUAAUGAUCCGAGGAUGGUGCCCGAUUAUAGCAAUCUUGGAGAUUACCUGCCCGACGAUGUACAUUAUGAAAUCAUGGAGGUGGACGAACACAAAUACCAUUACGGGAAGCCUCUCGUCAAAGAUGAAAGAUCUCUAACAACGAUGAUGUGAAGAUUACAUGAUUGGUACAUGAAAACCUGCAGAGAGUCUGAUGGGACGAGUACUUUGACGCUGAGAGUUAAACCGGAGCAUGACCUCGUUGGAAUUGAACUGCUGAAUGUUCCAUUUGAGGAUUUCUUCCAGUUUUACAAUCAAAAGGCCCUCGAUAAAACAACGAUCACUUGCUACUGUCUGUAAGUAGUACUACUUCUGUCAUUAAGUCUCUCUAUAUAGGUCAGCUCUUUCAUUGCAUGUAUUUAUAAUUAUCCUCGCUAUAUUAUGCAGAUUGAAGAUCGCCAAAUUGAAGAAAAGACAAAUCGGUGAUAUUGGGUUCAUUAACACAAAUCUCAUAGAUGCAUAUACGGGUGAAAAACAUCCCAAAGAAGCCGAGGCCAACUUGCUACAAUCGUUGGUAUUAAAUCAAAACAAAGAUAUAAUAGUCUUUCCUUACAACUUCAAGUGAGUGUUACUGUCUUGUGCAUAUUCGGUUUCCCUUAUUAGUCCAGGUUAUGGUAAUGUAAUUGAUGACUUAUGCAUGCAUGCGCAGCUUCCACUAUAUUCUCCUAGAGAUUAAGCUUGAGCAGGGAGUAGUAACCGUCUUAGACUCGAGACGAAAAGAUCCCCAGGACUAUGCGAACAUGACUCAAAUGCUCGAGAAGUAAGUUAAAUCGAUCAUUAUCCAUCAUAUCAGCAACUUUGUUCAUUUCCUGAUAUCAAGUAAUUGUUUUCUUUGUCUGGCAGGGUUUGGAGAAAAUUCACCACAAAAGCUCCGGGACUGCCGAAGAAGCUGCAAUUUAAACACCCGAAAGUAAGUACUAUAGUAGCAUGUUCCGCACAUCUCCUAGUGAUUCAAGCGCUAGUUUCAUCAAUACCAUUUAGCAUGCUUGCUUAUCAGUUUGAUUGACCUCUAUUUCUUGUAAAGUGGUUGUGACAGGAACCCGGAAAUAAUUACUGUGGAUACUACGUUUGUGAGUCCAUCCGCUACACGACCUGUGAGCGGGGCUACUCUGAAGAACAAUAUGAAGUGCGUAAGCAAUAAUAUUCACAAUUUUAUUUUAUUACCAUCAUUUGUGUUGAGUUUCAUUUAUUCAUAUAUAUAUGUAUUGACCCCCUUCUUCAAAUUAGAUGUUUCGGAAGCGGGAUGAACUCCUAGCACCAGAUCGUAUGCGAGGAAUUCAAGAGGAAUUGGCGGCAUUCUUCCUUGACCACGUGAUCGCUGAAAACGGAGAAUACUAUGUGGACCCUAUGUUCUUACAAUUUAAUUAGGAGAUUGUAUUGUAAGAGAUAAUUAUUGUAUAUAUGUAGCCAGUAGUGUCGGAUAGAUAUACGAGAACUUGUUGUUCGACCAAUCUCUCGGAGAAGGAGAGGUGGUCGAUAUCACUUCUCUCUGUAUGCAUAUGUUCAUGACGAUCUUCUGUUUCCUUCAUUUGAUUACUAGCUAGCGUGUCUAGUCCUCUCCAUACGUAUAUAGUACGUAGCGUCGACCAAGCACGGAGAUAAGAGAGGACACUUCUCUCUAUUAAUUAGCUAGCUAACACAAUAUAUGAAAGACCUAAAUUAACCCCCAACACCCCCCCCCCUUCAAAAAAAAACAAAAACCCCAGCCCCUAAAAUGCUGACGCGUGGAUGCCUAUUGGUCCCGGUUGGUGACACCAACCGGGACAAAUGGCCCUGCCUAUUGGUCCCGGUUGGUGGCACCAACCGGGACCAAAGGCCCCCCUGCCUGGGCUGGCAGCAGCGGCCACGUGGAGGACCUUCNNNNNNNNNNNNNNNNNNNNNNNNNNNNNNNNNNNNNNNNNNNNNNNNNNNNNNNNNNNNNNNNNNNNNNNNNNNNNNNNNNNNNNNNNNNNNNNNNNNNNNNNNNNNNNNNNNNNNNNNNNNNNNNNNNNNNNNNNNNNNNNNNNNNNNNNNNNNNNNNNNNNNNNNNNNNNNNNNNNNNNNNNNNNNNNNNNNNNNNNNNNNNNNNNNNNNNNNNNNNNNNNNNNNNNNNNNNNNNNNNNNNNNNNNNNNNNNNNNNNNNNNNNNNNNNNNNCGGGACAAAAGGCCCUGCCUAUUGGUCCCGGUUGGUGGCACCAACCGGGACCAAAGGCCCCCCUGCCUGGGCUGGCAGCAGCGGCCACGUGGAGGACCUUCUGUCCCGGUUCGUGUAAGAACCGGGACUAAAGGGUUAGGGCUUUAGUAACGACCCUUUAGUCCCGGUUCGAAAACCGGGACAAAAGGCCCUUACAAACCGGGGUAAAAGCCCCUUUUCCUACUAGUGAUCCCACCUGUCAGUUUUGCUAUUAACACGUCUCAGUUUCGAAUUAGUGAGAUUUGUUACUCAAUUGUGACAAAAAUAGUGGUUUUUUUGUGAUUUUUCGAAAAAAUGAUGAUUUUGCAGUAUUCUAACCACAAAGGUGGUGGCUUUCAGCAAUUUACUCCUUCGACGUCUCCCUCGCGGUCGGCGAUGCCUCGCUAGGUGCCUUCGUCCUCCUGUGCUGCUGGCAUCUGUGGAAGCGGCGGAACGCGGUGGUGUUCCAGCGCGAGGCCCUGCCCCUGGCCGCCGUCAGGAAGGCGUGCCGUGACGACGCGGUCCUUUGGCGGGGCCGCUUCGGUCCGAGCCAGCGCGGCCACAUCGACGUCUGGCUGCGUGCUCUCUCCCCCUAGACACCUAGUAUAGGCUUUCCCCUCUCCUUUCUUGUGUCUAAUUUCUCGCUAGUCCCCUCCCUUCCUUUCUCUGAUGCUGUCCUCCCUGUACGGAUGUAAACUGUGUGGGGUGCUGGGCAGAUUGCAGUACAAAGAUUCAGGUGGGGGAGUUCUCUCCCCCCUUUGAAAAUUCAAAAAAAAAAAACUAUGGACGACGGCAGACAGCGAGGCCAAGUGGCGGCAUCGCUACAAUUCUGAUGAGAUGGAGCACACACUCUUUGGCAUCCACUCCGGCCGAGUAACUUCGCCUCGCCGCGGAAGGUGUGGCACUACUGACGAAAAAUGGUUUCCCCCCGCUUAAUACAUAAAGCAACCAAACAAACCGAAACCGAGCUCAGCGCAGCAGCAACGCUCAUGGACGUGCGUCUGCUCGUUGACGACAAGCGGUGGCGUGCGUGGUGUGAGUUGGUACUACGCGUGCGCUCAGGCAGCCUUGAGCUUAGCGUGUCGUCGGUGUGGAGAGCGAUGGCACAUGAGGUGUUCGGCAAAAUGCCAACCGAGCGCACUGGAGAGAAAGUAGGGAGAUGUGAUGAGGUGGUGGUCAUUGUAGUCAAAACCAUGCCACAUCAGAACCAAUACCACUUUGGUUCGGCAAAGGGACCAAAUUCGUCCGGUAUGAGAAGUUAUGGGUGCAAAAUGCCUGGUUUUGAAGUUGAGGGGUCAAAGUUAAGGGACAAAAAUAUAUAGCAUAUUUCUCUAUAAAAAAACCUGAUAAAAUGUUUUCACGUGGACCAAUCAAGAGUAGGCAUGUAUUGUUUGUGCAUUGUUUUACACUGUCAUCAGUGUUAUUGCACCCAACAGAAGGUUAUAUUUAUAUACACUUGAUUAAUUACAUGAGAUAGACACUUUAUAAAGAUGCAUGUAGUCUGCCCGCUUGGUGAAGUAAUCCUCUUAGGGCGCCCGAUGGAAACUGGAUGGAUGAUUCGACAAGUGGGAUGGGCUCGGGGGUCGACAGCAGGGGCGGGCCUGUGCUUGCAAAGCGUACGUACAUCAUCGACCCAUGUGGUUGAUCGGGUGCAAGAAGCACUUAGGGUUUCUUGCGCCGCCGCCGUCAUCUGAGAAAUUUAGGUCCCCUCGCUUUCGGCUGCCAUCUUGGCGCUGAGAGGGGAGAGGGGCUUGGAUCUUCAAGACCUUUAUGUUCUUCGUCAUCGUCUAAUAAUCAUCAUAGUUUUGUGAGAGUAAAUUUCCUCUCGUUCUUUUAGCAGUGCCAUGAGAAUAGAGAGUUUUUCGUCCUCUCAGAUCCGAUUAUUCAGAUCUAAUGAGUCUAGCUAUGUUGUUGUGUCAAGCUUUUUUUAUCGGUAUGAUUCUUUAUGAGGGUGAAAUCUUUCAUCGACAACAUGGUGAAGAUAUAUUGAUUCGACGGCCUGCAGUUCUAGGGGACCAUUCCCGGCCCAAGUAUGUUCAUCCAUCAAGACUUAGCGACUGAAGGCGCUUUCAAAAACCAUUAUUGGUAAUGUUCGUGCGUGUGAAAGAGUGGCAAUAUCGUUGCUCCAGUCCAAUUAUAGUCUCUUCAUCGAAGUCUUUGGAGUAUUUCUUCAAGCAGAAAUUGACGCCAUGAAGGUAUUCUCAAGAGAUUUUACUGCAAUUCUUAGUCAUACGACUUACUCUGUAUUUUCUUGAAUUUUAGAUCCAAAUCAGUGUACCCGUAAUUAUUAUGAGUACCAAUAAAGUUACAUGUGUUUAAAGAAAAUGGUUGAUCGUGUAGAUACAUGAACAUUGGUGAAACAGUCAUAUCCAAAAUUUGCUAGUCCGCCGGGGGCACGGGCAUGUCGCGUCGCGACGUGUCCACGACCAUACAGAAAAUAUUUUCAUGUAACCAAUCAAGAGUAGGCAUGUAUUGUUUGGAUGUUACUCUUACACCGCCAUCAAUGUUAUUGCAUCCAGCAGAAGGUUUUAUUACUACUAGAGGCUAACGCGCGCUUCGCCGCGCCGUUCUUCACUUGUGAAAAAUAACCUUUUUUUAUCUAUAGAUUAUUGUGAUCAGUUGUUUUGUUUUGAUUUUAUCUGUGUUGGCUCUGUGUUUUAAUUUUUUAUUGGUGGUGUUUUUUUUUGCAUAUCGUGUUGGGUUGAUGUUGGGGCAUUAUUUUUUCAAGAGAAGAGAGGAGUUAUUUGAUGUGUGGUUGUGAAGCCUUUGCACAGUUUGGCCUUCGUGUCGGCCCGGUGGUGAUUGUUUGAGCUUCUUGGGAGUUCGUAUUUCAUGCUAAACCCAUGGAAUUGUUAUUGUGACACUCACACAUGUCAGCACACGAAGCUCUUGCUCGCUCAGCCGUGCUCUGUGCUCCUCUCGCUCGUUUAGCUUUUUUUGCUCACCCCAUUGCUAGCUCAGAAAAAAUCGCCUGUCUUUCUUUAUUUGAAAAGGCUAGUAAAAUUAAAUGAUGUUUAAGGAACUUUAAAAAUAUUAUGACUUUUAAAAACCAUGAAUUUUACAAAAAAAUCAUGAAUUUGAAAUAUAUUCAUGGUUUAAAAAAUGUUCACAAAAAAUAGUGUUCAAUUUUUAAAAAUGUUCAUAAACUUUAAAUGACCAUGAACUUAAAAAUAUCCCCAAAUUUAAUCAAUAUUAACAAAUUUGAAUAAUCUUAAAAUAUGUCUAUGUUUUUUAAAGUACAUAAAUUUUAUUAAGUGCUUAUGAAUUAAAACGUGAAAAAAAAGAAAUAGAAGGAAACAACACACACUUACGUGUGGGGCCCUAGUGACCCCACAACCCUCGAAGCACCAGAACGCUUCAAUUCGAGGGAGCUUAGUAUCUCUAUAGAUAUACAAAUGCCUGCAUCCUACAUUUGGAUAUGCAUAUCCUUCAAACAUUGAAUGCAUAGCCAAGAGGAGUGCCAUAAAUAGCACUCAACCUCCGUUCUUCUCCUCACACUAUCAUUCCAACAACUUCUUUUGAGCACUUGGCCAUGGCGUUCAGCGGCGCCCAGGUGCUUGCUGCUUUCACCCUGGGCUUUCUUCUCAUGGCUUUUUUUUGAAAUGCAGGUAUACCCCCGGCCUCUGCAUCAUGAUGAUGCAUGCGGCCCUUUUAUUAAAAAUCCAUAAAGUAUCAUCACAAAGGUCUUACAGCUCGCAAACGGAGCAAAACAAAGCACAUAAAACUGAAAAAUACAAUCGGACAAAGACAACCGGUACGGUGAUAAUAAGGACAAGCUCUCUAGACUCCUAUCCUGUUAUGCGAACGCCAUCCGAACCGGUUGAAUAUAGCCCGAGCCACCAUCUCCCAUUGGUUGCACCCAGUAACCAAAGGCUCCCUGGAGUCCAUGGGAGUGAGUAAGGACCACGUACGGAUCCAAGCUGUAGCUCUGAAGAUAACCUGCAAAAAAGUUAAGUUGUGUUGUCUGGUAAAAAUCAUAUCAUUUCUGCAGUUCCAUAUAGCCGAUAAUAACGCACAUAUUCCAAUCCGAAUACGAGCUGUCGUGAUCUGUUCAACCCCAGCUAACCACGUCCCAAACAAAGACGCAAUAUCUACUGGGGGAUUGAUAUUAAAAGCUAUAUGAAUCGUUCUCCAAAGUAACUUGGCAAGUGGGCAUUCGAUAAAUAAAUGUUGUAUUGUUUCAUCUUGAGAACAAAAACAACACCGCGAGUUACCUACCCAUCGCCUCUUAAGUAAGUUGACCUUUGCGAGUAUUAUUUGCUUGUGGACAAACCACAUGAAAAUUUUAAUCCGCAAAGGAACCUUAACCUUCCAUAUAUGAAGUGACCUUGAGAUGGGGCCAGAAUUAAUCAGAUCCGUAUAAAAUCAUUUCACCGUAAAUAUCCCUUUUUAGUUAACUUCCAUUGUGUGGAGUCCGGCACGUUGGAGAGUCGAACUUCAAUCAAUAUCCGAACCAAGUGCAUCCAGGCUGUCCAUCUCUCACCCACUAACGUACAUCUGAACUGGAUGUUCAACAUCCUCUCUCAUGGCCUUCUAUAAGUUCAUAUAGCAGAUUUAUCGCAUCGCAAUCCCAUGCAACUAAGAUAAAUCGAUGAAACAACUGCUAAUAUAGUUUGUUGGUACACACUCUAAUUCUAUGUCACAUGCAGGUGCGGAGGCUCGGGUAUGCAUGUCCCCUAGCAAGUUUUCCAAAGGCCGUUGCAAAACGAACGCACGAUGUACCGCGGCUUGCCACAAAGAGCACUUCGAGGGUGGGUACUGCUCCAGCAAAAAGUCCAUCGUUGGCGACCUGCACAACGAAGAUAAUGACCUUUCAAACGUAAGAAGAAAAAAAGGUGUAUUUGUGCAUUCAAAUGCGACAAUAAAGCCCCGCCACCGCCGGAACCUGACGUGCCAGAGCCACCGCCGGUACAAAUCUGAGGUUCUGGAGCUGCCCUCGGGGGAACGCAAGAAGAAGCUACGGCCGGCUGCCGCCCAACUUACUGAGUGAGCAAAUGGUCCAGUCCGCCCGUGCGAGAAAAUGAUUUUAAUAAGAGAGGGAUUAAUCAACGCUUGAUUUGUACACAUGCAUAAUUGAUCGCAUGAGAAGAAGAAAAAGAAGAAGAAGAAGAAGAAGCAUAAUAAUAAUAAUAAUAAUAUGAAGUGUUUUUUAGGGAUAAUAAUAAUCUGAAGUUGCCGUGAUGGCCUCUCCUGUAUUUAGUAGUUUUAGUUCAGGGUGCUUGCCCGGGGUUGCCGUGAUCGAUGGCGCCUGGCAAGAUGACGUUACAGUGCUGCCCACCGUUGCCUUUUUUUUUUGCGAAAAUGAUUUAAAACUAUUAUCAAAGUUCAGAAGUACAAAAGAAUAUACUCCCUCUGUUCCUAAAUAUUUGUCUUUCUAAAUAUUUCAACAAGUGACUGCAUACGGAGCAAAAUGAGCGAAUCUACACUCUAAAAUAUGUCUACAUACAUCCGUAUGUGGUAGUCCAUUUGAAAUGACUAGAAAGACAAAUAUUUCAAAACGGAGGGAGUAAAACAUAAGAGAAAUUACAUCAAGAUUUGAAGGCUACCGAACAAUCAUUACUGUGGCUAGAAGGAGCCACCGACCUCGCUAUCGCCGCUCUCUACCGGAGCCGGCUUGAACUUGCAAUAACAGCCGAGAAGUCUUCCUGCACGUGCCACUAAUGACCAGCGCUCUGGAGCCGCAGUCAUCGCCGUUCAACCCUUCCAUAGAUCUGAAGCACCUGACAACAAAUCUCGUCACAUGAUGAGAAACUCUAACCUCAGUGCCCAAAGGAGAAGGCGGGAAUCUACGCCAGGGAUCCUUCGACUACGUCCAGACGGACGAACUCGAGAAGGAUUGAAGCACGAAAGACCAACUCAAAGAAGUAGCACCGCCAUCCGCCCAAGCGCUGCACCUGCAAGGACAAAAAAAAGUAACCUAAACUACCGCCAGCGUGGAGGCACACAAAUUCUCCUCCCCGCCACUGACCACUGAAGCGGCAUGCAAAGGGGAGCGGAAUCCAUGGGCUCGCCGGUGAUGUCUGGAGGAGAGAGUUUGUCCUAACCGCCUAUUAGGGGACGAAAAUGAGAGGCUGCCCACCGUUGCUUGCAUAGUGCACGCUGGUCGUCGAUGUCAUCUUCUGUUCUGGUUCCAUGGUGAGGUGAAAGGGAGGCAACAGUUCUCUCGCUAGCUCCCUUAAUAAGCACGCACUCGCACAAGAUCAAGUCUGUCUCGUGUCCUCCCCUCCUUCUUUUGGCCAUCAUGGCGCCGCCAUGGGGGGAAGAGCAUGACAAGACUUGGGCUUCUGAUACAGUCAGGUAUUUUGCUAAGAUCUGUUAGAGGGCCUCCAGCAUGCCUCCCGUUGCUACAUUCAUCACGGUGGUGGAAGCGUCUAUGCGGUCAUUUGGAUGGGGUUCAAGAGCUCAUGGUGGUGGAUUUGGAGGAAUUGUGGUGCCUCAGGGUGGGCGUUCGGGUUUACGCAAAAAUUCGGGUCUGGUAACUCGGACUUUUAGAAAUUCGGGUUUCCAAAAUCAACACCGAAAAUAUUCCUGAAAAAAGAGAAACUAAAAAAUUCUGGUUUAGGUUUGGGUAAUCUUGAAUUACCGAAAUUAGCACAACAAACAAAAUGACAGCAGCGCUCCCCUUUGAUUCCCUCACUCAAAGUUUGUGGGAUGUAGCUUCGCCUAGUGUGCUUCUCAUGGCGGCAGAAUACUGAAACUAGGAGGUAAUCAGCCUUAUCGCAGGCGGAGGUGGUGAGCCUCUCGCGCAUAGCAGACAGUGGCGGCGAUGUGCAGACGAUGGUGACGAUGCCGGUGAGGUGCAGGGAGUUAAGGAGGUGGCCGACCGCCUGGCCGCAUUGCAUGCUGGUGGUUGCUAGGCCGGGACCCAGGACGUGACCGGCUGCGUUGCAUUGUAGUCGUCGGUUCGAGAGAAACCGAGAGGAAGGAACGAGGCACCCAUGGAGAGAGAGGGGGGAGAGAUGGAGAGAGGCAGGGGCGGAGCUACAGGGUGGACAGGGUGGGCCGCGGCACACCCUGGGAUUUUGGGCCAGCCUAUAUACCAUAGGGGGUUACUAGGAGGAUGGGCCAAGGAAAAAAGAGCCCAGCAACAGCCUACUGCAUACACUGCGCGUUCCGUGCCUCUCGACGGUCGACGCCAGCUGAUUCCUCUGAUCCCCUUUGCUCUACGUGCUUCGAUCCGCCGCCAGCCGCCUGCCACAGUGCCUCCCCUAGUCGUUGUCGCCGCCUCGCGGGCUCCUCCCGCCAGUCCCUGCCGGGCUGCCGGCUACCGGCUGCAACUCCACCGGAAGUGCGGCACUACUGCACAGCAGCGCCGGCGUGGGCGUGCCCAGCCGCCCCUGCCAGUGCAAGGAGACUGCGCUUGACCUGGCCAAGUUCGUCGACAAGGGCGUCUACGUGAAGCUCACCGGCGGCCGGCAGGGUUGAUUCGUACAGCCGAAAUCUCUUUGCUUUCGUGCUAAGCUCUGCAUUAUCAGAUCCCCCCGUAUUUGUUUGUGUUAGCCACUUAGCCUGCUAACUGCCUAUUAGGCUCUGUCGUUGUCACCAGCGCGCUAUUUGGUGUAGAGCAAUCCUUAUAGACUUUCUACAAAUGUUACUGGAGUACUCGACUUGUUAGCUUGGUCUUUAUCCGAUUUAGUUGGUGCAUCUUGUGUUUCUUUAGUAUUGACGUGCAUGUUGUCAUUCUAAUCAGCAAACAAAUUCACAUACAUUGAGCUUUCUCCAAGGUGAAUGAAGCUGGUAUAAUUGAUACUUUCAUGCCCAUGCAAUAGCAUAGGCCAGAAACAUAGUCUUUUUAACUUCUCAAGGUAUUUACUAUGUAGGCUUCUUUUAUGCAAACCUAAGACUUAAUUAAGAAUUUUAGUAUGUUUGUAAGGCUAUAUUGAUCUAUUUAUGUGUGGUAUUGGUAAUUUCUUAGAACCUUCAGAUGUCAUGUUUGUUGUCAAAAAAAAAUUGAUGAGAAGGACCACCCUGAUUUCAAAUCCUAGCUCCGCCACUGGAGAGAGGGACUGCGUGACUGGCGGCACAUGGGAAGUGGAUGGGGGUCGCGACUAUGCUCGGUCGACCUAGGGGAAUCGAGGUCUUAUUCUUAUUCCCAUAUUGGGCUUGGCUGAUGCCAGGAGGUGGAAUAUUGAUUGGGCGGUUCCAUGAGUUGAAACCCAAAUUUCCCAAAAAAAAAUUGGGUUUCUAAAACUGUUACCGGGUUUAGUCUUCCGGUUUUUCAGGUUCGGGCUACACGGGUUCGGGUUUGGGCUUCGUGUAUCGGGUUUUAUGCCCACCAUGCGUGGUCCUCUUGUUGGUCAUGGCCUUGUUUCCUCCAAGGGGACACGACACAUAUCUUGUGGUCGAAAGGCGACCAAUAUCAUUUCUUCUGACCACGAUGCCAGAGAUAAGACAAGGUUACUCAAAGGUGGAGUCAAUGCCAUGCUAUCAUGGAGGUCUCGCCGUUUCAAGUGGUGCAUUCUUGGACCAACGAGAGUAGGUCCAUUGGGGAGCAAAAUCGGAGCCGAUUGCAAUAUACGUUCUUUGCUUUUGUUUGGGUUUUCUUUUGCAAGACUCAUAAUCUAGUUUGCAAGUCUGAGUUUCCUUUGGAUCUUGUUAUAAAUUGUACUCGUAUGCUUAUCUAAUCGAUACUGGGUCUUUCUAAACCCUACCCCGUGUUUAAAAAAGGGAAAUGAUGUAUUAUUUGUGUAUUACUCUAAUUUAUUGUUGGAUAGCGAUGAUGAGCAAUAGAUUUUUAGAAAACGAACCUUACUAGUAUUGUUAGGAAACCUGUUUUACUAUCUUUUUUGUUAAGAAUAGGCUAAAUCAUGUCUGGGCCUUGAUUAGACUUUGGAUACUUAGAGCAUCUACCGCCGCGAUGGGCAAACCAGGCCCACAAACGCCCGCGGACGCGCCCGGACGUGCCCGCAUCAUAUUUUCCAUUUUGCAUCCACCUUUCUUAUAUCUGGCGCCUUAUAUCCAUAUUACACAUGCAACGUUGGUCUACUCUACAUGAUCAAACGACGGACAAAAAAAGGCAUGCAAAGGAACACAAUAUCGGCUCCAAAAGGACAUUAACAAACUUCGGCACAUCCAAAAGAUCAUAGUCCGUCACCGGACAAGUUCUUAAACUUCUACAACUAAAAAGAUAUAAACAUUGAGGGGGGGGGGGUCACCACUUCCUUGGUAGGCCUUUGCCCUUCCAGUCGCCAGCACAAGCUAUAGGCGUCAGCGGCUGGUGGAGGAUCUUGGUCGUCCGACGAGCAGGUGCAGUUGUCGUCGGAGUCGGAGUCGGAGUCGGAGAGGACGAUGAGCCCCCUUCAUCCGACGGACCACCCUGUCCUACUCCUACUUCAACCUGGCGACCCGAGCCUUCUCCGUCGCUACCUCCUUCGCCUUGCGCUCUGACUGCUCAAUAGCAAGUCAGAGCGCCUUGACAUUCUUCCGUCGGAGGUGGCGAGCGUCUAUCUCUGCCAUCGUGACGGACCAGCGGUAGACCCAUGCGAGGAGACGCGCGUCCUCAUCCGGGUCUGCCUCCGUCCCGCAGCGGCGGCGUGCGGACUGCUCGGCCGCGUCCCUCUCCCAUGCACGCUGCCUCUCGCGGCGAGUGGCGCGCGCCUCCGAUUCCGGAGUGGGCGUGUAGGCCAGCGACGCGGGCACCAACACACACCUCUGCCUGUGUGAACGAGCGGACGACGGGGGUAGGAGAUGAUGUGGGGCCAGUGCGGACUGCGCUGUCCUGCGUCGUUGCGUGCGGGCCAGGAGAGUCCAGCUCCGUCGUCCGCGAUGUGCCAGCGCGGGUGCUGCGGUGAUGCUCUAGAUCUGGAGCUGUCGCCGGUCUCCACCUUGGACUACUCCAUCGCAAUGCAGAGGGCCAUCACCUCCUCGUAGUCCAGCUCGGAGCCGGAGUCACUGCCGGAGCUGGACAUCAUAGUGAAUGGGAUCGCAACCGGAGAAGGAGAGGAGAGGCCGGAGUGAGAGAGAGUGAGCUAGGGUUCGGAGCGAGGCACCCGAACUGGGGUUUCUUGUGGGACAUAUGUGGGGUCGGUGGUCGGCCGGGCCUGUCAGGCGGAGGCGCCCGGGCGUGCCCGGGCCGCCCCAUAUCCGUCCUCUAUUUGGGCUGGAUAUGAGGGGUGUUGUUUAGCCCGGUCAUUUAUUCGCGGUUAAUUAAGAGGUCCGGCUGGGUCGAUUUUUUGUGACCGAUCAGUGACCGGACGGCCUGUCCUGACCUUUAGGACGUGUAUGCGAUGUCUGUCUGUAGAUGCUCUUACUAAGCCAAAUGACCACGUUGAUCGACUCCAUGUUAGCCAGACUAGCCGCUGAAUGAAGAUGUUGCAGUAUUAGGUUGGAAGGUCCUUCAGAUCUGGGAGUUGAAGCACAAAGCGCUCAACAAUUUUUUUGUUAUUUUUUCCCAGGAUUCCUAAAUAUCAGUCCACUGAGGACUUAACGAAGUCUUAGUCGACGCUAUAUUUAUUAGAUGUAUAGGCGUUUUGCAUGAGAGAUGACCUUAACAUAUUGUUUUCCACGACGAGUUCUCUCACUAGAUUUUUUUUUUCAUGUAAGCAACUAUGAGUAGGCAAGUAUUAUUUGUGUUUUGCUCUUACACUGCCAUCAAUGUAAUUGCACCAAGAGCCAGUAGAAGGGAUUUUUUUUGGCGGGGUAGCACAAGCUUUUAUUUAGAUACACAUGAUUAAUUACUGGAGAUAGAUGCUAUACACAAAUGCUUGUAUCCAAUAUUUGGAUUUCCAUAUCUUCCAAGACAUUACACAAAUGCUUGUAUCCAAUAUUUGAAUUUCCCUACCCUCUAAGACAUUACACAAAUGUUGUAUCCAACAUUUGGAUUUUCAUAUCCUCUAAGACAUUACACAAAUGCUUGUUUUCAAUAUUUGGAUUUCCAUAUCCUCUAACGCAAUCAGUGCAUAGCCAAAAGGAGUGCAAUAAAUAGCACUCAAACCCCAUUCUUCAUCUCACAGCAUCAUUCCAACAACUUAUUUUGAGCACUUGGCCAUGGCAUUCAGCGGCGGCCAGAUGCUCGCUGCCUUCACCCUGGGCUUUCUUCUCAUGGCCUUCUGUAAGUUCAUAUAGCAGAUUUUAUCGCAUCACAAUUCCAUGCAAUUUUAGAUCAAUCGACGAAACAAUUGCUUCUAUAAUUUUCUGGUGCACACACUAAUUCUAAGUCACUUGCAGGUGCGGAGGCUCGGGUAUGCAUGUCCCCUAGCAAGUUCUAUAAAAGGAGCCCUUGCAAGAACGUGCGUUGCACCGCGGCCUGUCACAAAGAGCACUUCAAGGGUGGUUACUGCUCCAGUAAGAAGUCAAUUGUAGGCGACGAGCUCAAGGAAGACAACGACGACAACCGCUUUCGCAAACCUCCUAAGAAAACGAGGUGCAUCUGUACAUUUCCAUGCGGCUCUAAGGCCCCACCACCACCGUCAGAACCUGAAGUGCCAGAGCCACCGGGUGAACCCGUGGUGCCGGAGCCGCCAUCCAAAGAUCCUAAGAAGAAGCCGCCACCGCCGCCAUAUGAACGUGGCAUGCCGGUGCCGCCCUCGAGAGAACACAAGAAGAAGCUGCCGCCAGCUGCCGACCAGUGAGCAAAUGGUCUAGUCCGCCUAUCCGAGGAAAAUGAUUUUAAUAAGAGAGGAAUUAAUCAACGCUUGACUUGUACACAUGCAUAAUUGAUUGCAUGACAAUAAUAAUAAUCCUUUUUUGAACUGAGUAAUAAUAAUCUUGGUACUGUUAAAGGGACCCUAUCGCUGUGAUGGUUCCACCUUCUCGCACCCCUCCUACAUUCCCAUGCAGCCAACACUAAUCUUUUUUCCCUCGUACGAACCCCGCAUAUCCAACGAGUUGUUGGAGAUACGCCCUAGAGGCAAUUAUGUAUGAUGAUAUUUCCUAUGUGUUUACGAGUAAAGAUAAUCCUUGGACAUUAUCAAUGAUGUAUAUCAAUAAGUACGUGACUUGUUUUUGAGACUAUGCAUUGUAUGAUGACUGUCCUAAAAGGUCCCUAGUCGCAAGGGCUGUGUGGACGCGCAGCUGACUAGACUAGCAUAUGACACGGUGGAUGGCUCGGUCUCACUAGCCAUGGAGCAUUGGAUGCUAACCGGAUACUAUGAACUUGGAAAGGUCUGGUCAGAUUCGACAUAGUCGGAUCCGAGUCGAUAUAAGGUAUGAGUCGGAUAGACCCAACUAUGAGACGCAGCGAUAUGUUAUCUGUGAGUCUCUAGUGCAACAUACGUUCUAUGUCCUAGGACCAGAGCUGACCCAUGUACUCGGGAUGGUGGCAGGCCUGCUUUGGGCUGACCAAACGCUACUCCAUGACUGGGUAGUUAUAAAGGUAGGUUUCGGGCUUGUCCAGACCAUGUUGCGAGACAUGAUCGUGCAAGAUGGGAUUUUCCCCUCCGAUCAGGAGAGAUAUACUCUGGACCCCUCGUAUGAUCCGACCAAGAUAAGCAUGGCCAUGCGAUAAGGAUUAUGAGAUAAUCUGGUUAGUGGUCGGCAUCACUGGAAUGAGAAAGAGGUCGGGCUAGCACAAGGAUGACAAACUCGCCUUCAGCCCGACAACAUAUAUCGUGUGGCAAAGGGAACAAAAGUGUGAUGUACAUGUUCGCCAACCAGCUUCAUAGUCUGCUUGGUGGUCGGCACGCCUUGCUAGAGGCCGCUACCAACCGUGUGUUCGGGAACGUAGCAAUAAUUCAAAAUUUUCUACGCAUCACCAAGAUCAAUCUAUGGAGUUUACUAGCAACGAGAGGGGAGGAGUGCAUCUACAUACCCUUGUAGAUCGCGAGCGGAAGCGUUCAAGAGAACGGGGUUGAUGGAGUCGUACUCGUCGUGAUCCAAAUCACCGAUGAUCCAAGCGCCGAACGGACGGCACCUCCGCGUUCAACCCACGUACGGAGCGGUGACGUCUCCCAUGCCUUGAUCCAGCAAGGAGGAGGGAGAGGUUGAGGAAGAAGGCUCCAACAGCAGCACGACGGCAUGGUGGUGAUGGAGUGACAGUUCUCCGGCAGGGCUUCGCCAAGCACACGCGGAGGAGGAGAGGUGUUGGGGAGGGGAGGGGCUGCGCCUUGGAUGUGGUGCUGCAGCCCUCCCCUCACCCCUCUAUUUAUAGGGAGAAGGGGGAAGGGGGCCGGCCCCUCUAGAUGGGAUCUAGACGGGGGGCGGCGGCCAAGGGGGAGGUGGCUUGCCCCCCAAGCAAGGGGGGGGGGGGCGCCCCCUUUAGGGUUUCCCCCAAACCCCAGGCGCAUGGGCCCUAGGGGGGUUGGCGCCCAGCCCACUAAGGGCUGGUUCCCUUCCACCUACAGCCCAUAAGGCCCUCCGAGGCAGGCGGACCCUCCCGGUGGACCCCCGGAACCCCUCCGGUGGUCCCGGUACAAUACCGGUAUACCCCCGAAUAUUUCCGGUGACCGUAUGGUGACUUCCCAUAUAUAAAUCUUUACCUCCGGACCAUUUCGGAACUCCUUGUGACGUCCGGGAUCUCAUCCGGGACUCCGAACAACAUUCGGUAAUCACAUACAAACCUUCCUUAUAACCCUAGCGUCAUCGAACCUCAAGUGUGUAGACCCUACGGGUUCGGGAAUCAUGCAGACAUGACCGAGACACCUCUCUGGCCAAUAACCAACAGCGGGAUCUGGAUACCCAUGUUGGCUCCCACAUGUUCCACGAUGAUCUCAUCGGAUGAACCACGAUGUCGAGGAUUCAAGCAAUCCCGUAUACAAUUCCCUUUGUCAAUCGGUACGUUACUUGCCCAAGAUUCGAUCAUCGGUAUCCUAAUACCUCGUUCAAUCUCGUUGCCGGCAAGUCACUUUACUCGUUCCGUAAUGCAUGAUCCCGUGACUAACUACUUAGUCACAUUGAGCUCAUUAUGAUGAUGCAAUACCGAGUGGGCCCAGAGAUACCUCUCCGUAAUACGGAGUGACAAAUCCCAGUCUCGUUCCGAGCCAACCCAACAGACACUUUCGGAGAUACCUGUAGUGCACCUUUAUAGCCACCCAGUUACGUCGUGACGUUUGGUACACCCAAAGCAUUCCUACGGUAUCCGGGAGUUGCACGAUCUCAUCGUCUAAGGAAAUGAUACUUGACAUUAGAAAAGCUUCAGCAAACGAACUACAUGAUCUAGUGCUAUGCUUAUGAUUGGGUCUUGUCCAUCACAUCAUUCUCCUAAUGAUGUGAUCCCGUUAUCAAUGACAUCCAAUGUCCAUGGUCAGGAAACCGUAACCAUCUAUUGAUCAACGAGCUACUCAACUAGAGGCUCACUAGGGACAUGUUAUGGUCUAUGUGUUCACACAUGUAUUACGAUUUCCGGAUAACACAAUUAUAGCAUGAACAGUAGACAAUUAUCAUGAACAAGGAAAUAUAAUAAUAACCAUUUUAUUAUUGCCUCUAGGGCAUAUUUCCAACAGUCCCCCACUUGCACUAGAGUCAAUAAUCUAGUUACAUUGUGAUGAAUCGUACACCCAUAGAGUUCUGGUGUUGAUCAUGUUUUGCCCGUGGAAGAGGUUUAGUCAACGGAUCUGCGACAUUCAAAUCCGUAUGUACUUUACAAAUAUCUAUGUCUCCAUUUUGAACAUUUUCACGAACUGAGUUGAAGCGACGCUUGAUGUGCCUGGUCUUCUUGUGAAACCUGGGGUCUUUGGCAAGGGCAAUAGCUCCAGUGUUGUCACCGAAGAGAGUCAUCGGCCCCGAUGCAUUGGGAAUAACUCCUAGGUCGGCAAUGAACUCCUUCAUCCAGAUUGCUUCAUGUGCUGCCUCCGAGGCUGCCAUGUACUCCGCUUCACAUGUAGAUCCUGCCACGACGCUUUGCUUGCAACUGCACCAGCUGACCGCCCUACCAUUCAAAAUAUACACGUAUCCGGUUUGUGACUUAGAGUCAUCCAGAUCUGUGUCGAAGCUAGCAUCGACGUAACCCUUUACGACGAGCUCUUCGUCACCUCCAUAAACGAGAAACAUAUCCUUAGUCCUUUUCAGGUACUUCAGGAUGUUCUUGACCGCUGUCCAGUGUUCCAUGUCGGGAUUACUUUGGUACCUUCCUACCAGACUUACGGCAAGGUUUACAUCAGGUCUGGUACACAGCAUGGCAUACAUAAUAGACCCUAUGGCCGAGGCAUAGGGGACGACACUCAUCUUUUCUCUAUCUUCUGCCGUGGUCGGGCAUUGAGCCGUGCUCAAUCUCACACCUUGCAAUACAGGCAAGAACCCCUUCUUGGACUGAUCUAUAUUGAACUUCUUCAAUAUCUUGUCAAGGUAUGUGCUUUGUGAAAGACCUAUGAGGCGUCUCGAUCUAUCUCUAUAGAUCUUGAUGCCUAAUAUGUAAGCAGCUUCUCCAAGGUCCUUCAUUGAAAAACACUUAUUCAAGUAGGCCUUUAUACUUUCCAAGAAUUCUAUAUCAUUUCCCAUCAAUAGUAUGUCAUCCACAUAUAAUAUGAGAAAUGCUACAGAGCUCCCACUCACUUUCUUGUAAACACAGGCUUCUCCAUAAGUCUGUGUAAACCCAAACGCUUUGACAUCUCAUCAAAGCGAAUGUUCCAACUCCGAGAUGCCUGCACCAGCCCAUAAAUUGAGCGCUGGAGCUUGCAUACUUUGUCAGCAUUCUUAGGACCGAUAAAACCUUCCGGCUGCAUCAUAUACAAUUCUUCCUUAAGGAAGCCGUUAAGGAAUGCCGUUUUGACGUCCAUUUGCCAUAUUUCAUAAUCGUAGAAUGCGGCAAUUGCUAACAUGAUUCGGACGGACUUCAGCUUCGCUACGGGUGAGAAGGUCUCAUCGUAGUCAACUCCUUGAACUUUUCGAUAACCCUUAGCGACAAGUCGAGCUUUAUAGAUGGUAACAUUUCCAUCCGCGUCCGUCUUCUUCUUAAAGAUCCAUUUAUUUUCUAUCGCUCGCCGAUCAUCGGGCAAGUCUGUCAAAGUCCACACUUUGUUUUCAUACAUGGAUCCUAUCUCAGAUUGCAUGUCUUCAAGCCAUUUGUUGGAAUCUGGACCCGCCAUUGCUUCUUCAUAGUUCGAAGGUUCACCGUUGUCCAACAACAUGAUUUCCAGGACAGGGUUGCCGUACCACUCUGGUGCGGAACGUGUCCUUGUGGACCUACGAAGUUCAGUGGUAACUUGAUCAUGAUCGUCAUCAUUAACUUCCUCUCUAGUCGGUGCACGCACCACAUAAACAUUUUCUUGUGCUGCGCUACUUUCUGGUUCGAGAGGGGUCAUCUCAUCAAGUUCUACUUUCCUCCCACUUACUUCUUUUGAGAGAAACUCUUUCUCCAGAACGGACCCGUUCUUGGCAACGAAAAUCUUUCCUUCGGAUCUGAGGUAGAAGGUAUACCCAAUGGUUUCCUUAGGGUAUUCUAUGAAGACGCAUUUUUCCGACUUGGGUUCGAGCUUUUCAGGUUGAAGUUUCUUGACAUAAGCAUCGCAUCCCCAAACUUUAAGAAACGGCAGCUUAGGUUUCUUUCCAAACCACAAUUCAUACGGUGUCGUCUCAACGGAUUUCGACGGAGCCCUAUUUAAAGUGAAUGCGGCAGUCUCUAAAGCAUAACCCCAGAAUGAUAGCGGUAGAUCGGUAAGAGACAUCAUAGAUCGCACCAUAUCCAAUAGAGUGCGAUUACGACGUUCGGACACACCAUUACGCUGAGGUGUUCCAGGCGGCGUGAGUUGUGAAACAAUUCCACAUUUCCUUAAGUGUGUGCCAAAUUCGUGACUCAAAUAUUCCCCUCCACGAUCUGAUCGUAAGAACUUUAUUUUCCUGUCACGUUGAUUCUCAACCUCACUCUGAAAUUCCUUAAACUUUUCAAAGGUCUCAGACUUGUGUUUCAUUAAGUAGACAUACCCAUAUCUACUCAAGUCAUCAGUGAGGGUGAGAACAUAACGAUAGCCACCGCGAGCCUCAACGCUCAUUGGACCGCACACAUCAGUAUGUAUGAUUUCCAAUAAGUUGGUUGCUCGCUCCAUUGUUCCGGUGAACGGAGUCUUGGUCAUUUUGCCCAUGAGGCAUGGUUCGCAUGUGUCAAAUGAUUCAUAAUCAAGAGACUCCAAAAGUCCAUCUGCAUGGAGUUUCUUCAUGCGUUUGACACCAAUGUGACCAAGGCGGCAGUGCCACAAGUAUGUGGGACUAUCAUUAUCAACCUUACAUUUCUUGGCAGUCACACUAUGAAUAUGUGUAACAUCACGUUCGAGAUUCAUUAAGAAUAAACCAUUGACCAGCGGGGCAUGACCAUAAAACAUAUCUCUCAUAUAAAUAGAACAACCAUUAUUCUCGGAUUUAAAUGAGUAGCCAUCUCGCAUUAAACGAGAUCCAGAUACAAUGUUCAUGCUCAAAGCUGGCACUAAAUAACAAUUAUUGAGGUUUAAAACUAGUCCCGUAGGUAAAUGUAGAGGUAGCGUGCCGACGGCGAUCACAUCGACCUUGGAACCAUUCCCGACGCGCAUCGUCACCUCGUCCUUCGCCAGUCUCCGCUUAUUCCGCAGCUCCUGCUUUGAGUUACAAAUAUGAGCAACCGCACCGGUAUCAAAUACCCAGGAGCUACUACGAGCGCUAGUUAGGUACACAUCUAUAACAUGUAUAUCACAUAUACGUUUGGUAUUGCCGGCCUUCUUAUCCGCUAAGUACUUGGGGAAGUUCCGCUUCCAGUGACCGUUUCCCUUGCAAUAAAAGCACUCAGUCUCAGGCUUGGGUCCAUUCUUUGUCUUCUUCCCGGCAGCUUGCUUACCGGGCGCGGCAACUCCCUUGCCGUCUUUCUUGAAGUUCUUCUUGCCCUUGCCUUUCUUGAACUUAGUGGUUUUAUUCACCAUCAACACUUGAUGUUCCUUUUUGAUCUCCACCUCCGCUGAUUUCAGCAUUGAAUAUACCUCAGGAAUGGUCUUUUCCAUCCCCUGCAUAUUGAAGUUCAUCACAAAGCUUUUGUAGCUAGGUGGGAGCGACUGAAGGAUUCUGUCAACGACCGCGUUAUCCGGGAGAUUAACUCCCAGCUGAGACAAGCGGUUGUGCAACCCAGACAUUUUGAGUAUGUGUUCGCUGACGGAACUAUUCUCCUCCAUCUUACAACUGUAGAACUUGUCGGAGACUUCGUAUCUCUCGACCCGGGCAUGAGCUUGGAAAUCCAUUUUCAGCUCUUGGAACAUCUCAUAUGCUCCGUGCUGCUCAAAACGCUUUUGGAGCCCCGGUUCUAAGCUGUAAAGCAUGCCGCACUGAACCAGGGAGUAAUCAUCACUACGUGAUUGCCAGGCGUUCAGAACGUCUUGAGUUGCUGGGAAAACAGGUGCAUCACCUAGCGGUGCUUCAAGGACAUAUGCUUUCUUGGCAGCUAUGAGGAUAAUCCUCAGGUUACGGACCGAGUCCGUGUAGUUGCUACCAUCGUCUUUCAGCUUGGUUUUCUCUAGGAACGCGUUGAAGUUGAGGGCAACAUUAGCGUGGGCCAUUUGAUCUACAAGACAUAUUGUAAAGGUUUUUAGACUAAGUUCAUGAUAAUAAAGUUCAUCUAAUCAAAUUACUAACGAACUCCCACUCAGACAGACAUCCCUCUAGUCAUCUAAGUGAUACAUGAUCCGAGUCAACUAGGCCAUGUCCGAUCAUCACGUGAGACGGACUAGUCAUCAUCGGUGAUCAUCUUCAUGUUGAUCGUAUCUGCUAUACGACUCAUGUUCGACCUUUCGGUCUCUUGUGUUCCGAGGCCAUGUCUGUACAUGCUAGGCUCGUCAAGUCAACCUAAGUGUAUUGCGUGUGUAAAUCUGGUUUACACCCGUUGUAUGCGAACGUUAGAACCUAUCACACCCGAUCAUCACGUGGUGCUUCGGAACAACGAACCUUCGCAACGGUGCACAGUUAGGGGGAACACUUUCUUGAAAUUUUAGCGAGGGAUCAUCUUAUUUAUGCUACCGUCGUUCUAAGCAAAUAAGAUGUAAAACAUGAUAAACAUCACAUGCAAUCAAAUAGUGACAUGAUAUGGCCAAUAUCAUUUUGCUCCUUUUGAUCUCCAUCUUCAGGGCGCCAUGUUCAUCAUCGUCACCGGCAUGACACCAUGAUCUCCAUCAUCGUGUCUUCAUGAAGUUGUCUCGCUAAUUAUUACUUCUACUACUAUGGCUAACGGUUAGCAAUAAAGUAAAGUAAUUACAUGACGUUUCAGUUGACACGCAGGUCAUAAAUAAAUUAAGACAACUCCUAGGCUCCUGCCGGUUGUCAUACUCAUCGACAUGCAAGUCGUGAUUCCUAUUACAAGAACAUGAUCAAUCUCAUACAUCACAUAUAUCAUUCAUCACAUCCUUCUGGCCAUAUCACAUCACAUAACACUUGCUGCAAAAACAAGUUAGACGUCCUCUAAUUGUUGUUGCAAACUUUUACGUGGCUGCUAUAGGUUUCUAGCAAGAACGAUUCUUACCUACGCCAAAACCACAACGUGAAAUGCCAAUUUCUAUUUACCCUUCAUAAGGACCCUUUUCAUCGAAUCCGAUCCGACUAAAGUGGGAGAGAUAGACACCCGCUAGCCACCUUAUGCAACUAGUGCAUGUCAGUCGGUGGAACCUGUCUCACGUAAGCGUACGUGUAAGGUCGGUCCGGGCCGCUUCAUUCCACGAUGGCGCCGAAUCAAGAUAAGACUAGUAACGGCAAGUAAAUUGACAAAAUCAACGCCCACAACAACUUGUGUUCUACUCGUGCAUAGAAACUACGCAUAAACCUGGCUCAUGAUGCCACUGUUGGGGAACGUAACAAUAAUUCAAAAUUUUCUACGCAUCACCAAGAUCAAUCUAUGGAGUUUACUAGCAACGAGAGGGGAGGAGUGCAUCUACAUACCCUUGUAGAUCGCGAGCGGAAGCGUUCAAGAGAACGGGGUUGAUGGAGACGUACUCGUCGUGAUCCAAAUCACCGAUGAUCCAAGCGCCGAACGGACGGCACCUCCGCGUUCAACACACGUACGGAGCGGUGACGUCUCCCACGCCUUGAUCCAGCAAGGAGGAGGGAGAGGUUGAGGAAGAAGGCUCCAACAGCAGCACGACGGCGUGGUGGUGAUGGAGUGACAGUUCUCCGGCAGGGCUUCGCCAAGCACACGCGGAGGAGGAGAGGUGUUGGGGAGGGGAGGGGCUUCGCCUUGGAUGUGGUGCUGCAGCCCUCCCCUCACCCCUCUAUUUAUAGGGAGAAGGGGGAAGGGGGCCGGCCCCUCUAGAUGGGAUCUAGAGGGGGGCGGCGGCCAAGGGGGAGGUGGCUUGCCCCCCAAGCAAGGGGGGGAGGGGCGCCCCCUUUAGGGUUUCCCCCAAACCCUAGGCACAUGGGCCCUAGGGGGUUGGCGCCCAGCCCACUAAGGGCUGGUUCCCUUCCACCUACAGCCCAUAAGGCCCUCCGGGGCAGGUGGACCCUCCCGGUGGACCCCCGGAACCCCUCCGGUGGUCCCGGUACAAUACCGGUAUACCCUCGAAUAUUUCCGGUGACCGUAUGGUGACUUCCCAUAUAUAAAUCUUUACCUCCGGACCAUUCCGGAACUCCUCGUGACGUCCGGGAUCUCAUCUGGGACUCCGAACAACAUUCGGUAAUCACAUACAAACCUUCCUUAUAACCCUAGCGUCAUCGAACCUUAAGUGUGUAGACCCUACGGGUUCGGGAAUCAUGCAGACAUGACCAAGACACCUCUCUGGCCAAUAACCAACAGCGGGAUCUGGAUACCCAUGUUGGCUCCCACAUGUUCCACGAUGAUCUCAUUGGAUGAACCACGAUGUCGAGGAUUCAAGCAAUCCCGUAUACAAUUCCCUUUGUCAAUCGGUACUUUACUUGCCCGAGAUUCGAUCGUCGGUAUCCCAAUACCUCGUUCAAUCUCGUUACCGGCAAGUCACUUUACUCGUUCCGUAAUGCAUGAUCCCGUGACUAACUACUUAGUCACAUUGAGCUCAUUAUGAUGAUGCAUUACCGAAUGGGCCCAGAGAUACCUCUCCGUCAUACGGAGUGACAAAUCCCAGUCUCGAUCCGAGCCAACCCAACAGACACUUUCGGAGAUACCUGUAGUGCACCUUUAUAGCCACCCAGUUACGUCAUGACGUUUGGUACACCCAAAGCAUUCCUACGGUAUCCGGGAGUUGCACGAUCUCAUCGUCUAAGGAAAUGAUACUUGACAUUAGAAAAGCUUCAGCAAACGAACUACACGAUCUAGUGCUAUGCUUAGGAUUGGGUCUUGUCCAUCACAUCAUUCUCCUAAUGAUGUGAUCCCGUUAUGAAUGACAUCCAAUGUCCAUGAUCAGGAAACCGUAACCAUCUAUUGAUCAACGAGCUAGUCAACUAGAGGCUCACUAGGGACAUGUUAUGGUCUAUGUGUUCACACAUGUAUUACGAUUUUCGGAUAACACAAUUAUAGCAUGAACAAUAGACAAUUAUCAUGAACAAGGAAAUAUAAUAAUAACCAUUUUAUUAUUGCCUCUAUGGCAUAUUUCCAACACCGUGCAGGUCGGAGGUGAUGCGAACUAUGGCCAAGCUGACAUGAACCUAAGGGGUCGCGCGCUUAAGGGAAGGAACCUACGAGGUCGGAUCCGAGGACACUGAUCGGAUGUGAUCCGAGCUGAACUUGGAUUGUGGCCGAGUAGACUUGUGGGCUUUAGGAUUCGUGUGAGUCCCAAGUGUUGAGCCCAUGAGGGAUGCCUAUAUAUAGUGGGGGUGCGGCACACUCAUUCGGUUGAUCGCUUCAGCGCCGUCACUAGGGUUUUGCAUGUGUUGCAACUAUCCACAUCCACUCACCGACGACUGUGUGAUCGGACCUAGCAGUCCGCCGCAUGGUGUUCCUCCUACACGUGCGGAUAUCGUUAGAGACGGCGCACUUACGCCGCUCCGGCAAACCUGUUUGGGCGAUCCGAUCGACUGCGUGGGAGAUCGACGAGGAGGAGACGACUCGGGAGACGCGCUGCCUCAACUCUACUUCUGCUGCACGGCACUGCGCGUCUAGUGGUAACGAUCUGUGAUCCAUCUCUGUAGCAUGUUUCUGGAUGUUCUGCGGGUAGGAAAAUUUUAAUUUGCGGUCAACGCACCCUACCAUAGAACCCAACACAAGCCAACACCUAUUUUUCCCUUGUGUGACCCUUCCUCGGUCUCUCCCACCCAGCCCACCGAUCCUCCCAUCCACGCUCGGAAAUAAGCAAAGGAAAAGGAAAAGGGAGACGUUUCAGGACGACAGGCCGGCGGAAACUUCAGCCACUAGUCAUGGGAUUAGUUUUGAUCCAACUGACCAUACUGCAUUUCACGCAGGUCCACAUACCUCCCAUCUCUCCCUUAUCUCUUCACAUAUGACGCAAACUCCUCCACAGCAGCCAUGGCCACUACCUCCAGCGCGGGGCCAUGGCCGAGCCCACCUGGCGACGCGACUGCUCGCACACGCAAAACACCAUGUGCCUGAAGCGGUUGGGGAGGUAGUCGGGGCAGGAGGACCGUGUGUUGCAUCCUUGCUGGUGAUUGGGGAUGGCGAGCUAAGGAGUCGGCAACAGAGCAUGCUACAACUGACGGCGGGGGAGCUGGAACCUGGAUGGAGGGAGCUGCAACCGGUGCCCAAGAGAGCUGCAAUCAUGGACGGCGAGCGCGGGGACCAUAGGCUGUGAAGACGGCGGUGCUGCUCCGAGCGACACCCGACGUCCCGGUUUUUUGCUAAUGCUACAACCCGCGUCAUAAAUUGCUACAACUGGUGUGUCCCAUCGCGCUGCAACUGGCAUCGCAUUUUGCUACAUCGCGUAGAAUGUCCUAUGUUUUGCUACAUCCAGCAUAGCCAAAUGCUACAACCGCCGUCAUGGCAAGCUGCAAUUGGAAGUGCGGCGAGUUGUGAUGGCUUAGCGGCGAGACGGUUUUUGUAGCAACCGACGCUUGAAUUUGCUAGAACCAGGCGAGGGAGACGUUGCAACGGUGUGGUGCGACCGAGUAGCUUAGACACCGGGCGUGUGCGACGAUGAGCACGCCGCCGAGCUGCGGCUGCCGCCACCGGAGCUACAACAGUGGGCCAUAGUUGUUGCAUGCAUGCGUGGAGUGGGCGACAAAUGCAGGCGGUGGCCGGCGGCAAGUGCGCCAACCGGCGACGAGGACGGUCGGCAAUGGCGGCAACCGGUGAGGAGGAAUGAGGUGGUCGGCUCAUCGCUGGAUGUGUUAAGAGGCAAGGGGAAGAAGACGAAGAGCGAUGCAAGUGGGCACCCAGCGAACCGAUUUCUUCCUUCCACGAGCCACCGAGCUGUUUUCUAGACCGUAUGGCUGCAUGCACGAUCGUACGGCUGUGCGGUGACCGGCCCAAUUUGGGCCGAUCGACCGGCUCGUGUUGGUUGGCGCACUACCCACGAACACAUGUCCACACACCCCAUCUCCCCUAUCACGUCACUCUGCCCACACCCGAGAAAAUUCGUUUGAGCACCAAAGUGUCGCAGGCUGCAACAUCCUUUGACAUAGAGACAAGCGCAUGCAGGGAAAGAGACAUGAGCGGGAGGGGGAUGGGGUCAACGCCCCCGUGAGCAUGUUGUCGACCGCUGCUGGAGGGGGAUUAUGAUGGGGUUAAUUUGAAGCAUGGGGAGAGAGCACUAAGGAAGGGCGUCACAUUGGGGAUCGAUUUGGCCUUGAUCCGGGUCGCUAGAAUACAAGCCAUGCCCAAGCCACUCUAUGGACGCCCCAGACUGAGGUCGCGGCUCGCCGUGGGUGCAUCCACAUCGGCGCGGUGGCGUGCAGUUCCUGCACCCAGCGUAAGCUGUGAAACCUGGGAAAGACGCGAGAUCAGAUGUUCCUCACAACCUGAAGACGUGAGCUAUGCCACUGCUCCUGGUAUGUGUGUUACUUCCGCUGGGUGAUGCUCUGUUGCCCUCCUAGGUAUCUUCUUUACUUCUCUUGCUGCUCGAUGAAGCUGGUCGUGCUGCUAGUUUUGCACGCUAUGGAGUUUCUAUCUCUACAUACGAUAAAUUUAGUAUCGGUCUACACAUGUGUUUGUACCAAUGUUCAAGACCUAGGUGAUGAUAUAGUUUUGACUUAUAAUGAUCAGAUUAUGUAUACCUUUUUGGGGGAUACAUUAUUAAGUACUGGGAAAAGAGGUGUAUGUAUUGUAUCUCGGUGUGGAACAUUCAUUUUUAACUGAAUCUAUAUGUUUAUUCAAUCUGAACUUAGAUGUUUUAUUUAGCUUGUACUCGUUCUGUAAAGAAAUAUAAGAUCGUUUAGAUCACUAUACUAGCUUCUGAUUUCCUAUGCUGCAAAUUGUAAUUGAUUUUCUUUAAUUAGUUGUGGACUUUCAUACUACAGUUGGCUAAUGCACUUAAUUGGUAUCAUUUCUAGUUUGAUAAUAAAUGCAUGUAUGUCUAAUUUGGAUCUUGGCUAGAGCAUCAACUGUGUGAGAAAUUAAUGCAGCUAAAGUAUUGGACUCAUCUAUAGAUUGGCAUCAUUCUAGUUUACACCUUAACCUAAUAAUUGAGAUUGGGACCCCUUUCCUAAUUAAUGAUAAUCAUUGUAAUCAGUAAUUGAUUCAGUAUUACUUGGGAAUAAGUAGGGAUAUUUUCACUCCAAAAUAUUCCAAUUUUGUGGAACUUGACCAGUCAGGAUCAAUUCUUCCAUUCCACAGCUUGCUUCGUUAUGGAGCAAUAAUCCAUGACUCCAGAUGUUGGAGUUUCUCCCUUUCAGUUUCCUUGGAUGUUGAAGUGUAUGGUUCGGAACUUCAUCUAUGGAUUUGGUUUGGUUCAUGCAAAGAAUUGGUAGACAUUUUUGUUAAUUUGGUAGGCCCUUUGCAGCAGUAGAUUCUUUUUCAUGUAGAUAUGCCAUGCUUACUAUUUGACAUGAAUACUUCGUGUUGUGCUUAUUAGCUCUAAUAUACUUUGUGUUUACUUAUACUAGCGGCUGGGGUGUGCCUCGGGUGCACCUCUUGAGGCGUAACUGUGUGGACAAAUCAAGUUGUUGUAGUUGUUAAUGUGUUGACAGUGCAUAUAAGAGAAAAUGGUUAAAAAUAUAACACAACUCUGAGAAUAGAAAAUUAAUAGUGAUUCUGGAGCAACUCGGUGCAACAUGAAAUGAAUCAAUAUUUACCAUGCCAUUGAGAUCAAAAGAACAAACAAACGAACUUUACAAACUUUGUAAAUUAUUUAGCUAAUCCAAGACCCUUCCAAACACUAUUUUGAUCACACUACAUAUUAUAUAAAUUUGGCCAGCUUUGGCAAAAAUCAAGAACAAUAUCGAGCUCUAGCAAUUGGUUGGAGCAAAGAACAUAGAGCCCCCUUUCAGGGAAAUUAGAGAGAGAAGUUAGACUAGCCUUAGGCCAAUGGGACGCAAACCUUUAUGUUUUUCUUUUAUCUCUUUUGUCCAUAUUAUCAUUUGAUCAAACCCAAUUUACCAGUUGCCGCUGCUAAAUCAAUAAACGCUGGCAACAUGCUGGAUGUUUCAAAAACAAUUGGUUAGCUAUAAUCAUACAUCAUUUAGCAAACAACAAAGGUAUGAUUACAAAAGAUGAAAGCACCUUACAUGAGGUGAUUUUUCCAAAGUUGGCGAACAAGUAUGGUAGCUGAUCAUCUAAAAUGCCAUCAUGAGAAUUUUCCAAGCACAAGUUUCUUCUUUGAUAUUUCUCCACUGCAUUUUUCAUGCCUUGCUCAAAUCUUAUGUUCAAGUCUAUGUCCCUUUUAGGUUUCUUAUGAGCUUUAUCAACAUACCACUUUAUUAGAAUACAAAACAAAAAUCAUGAAGUGUAAACUUACAUGCAUGGUGAUAUUAUGCAUAUAGAAACAGAAGUUCAGAAUUGAAAAACUAAAUCAAUCGUUAGACGAGAUGUACCAUCAUUUUCCAGCAAGGGUUGGACCAUCUCAGACAUGGAGAGUUUUCUCUCCAACUAUCAGCAGUGCAACCGACGCAAAUUAUGAACACCAAACUCCGUUGUGAUGCAAGAUUGUGUUAAGAAUCAGUUCAACCUUUCUCUAUAAUAGAAUAAUUGUCCACUUCAAAAAGUACAAAUUUUCACUUUGAAUCAUAGCAAUAAUCUAUGCAUGCUGCUUUUUUCACAAUGGAUAACUUACUGACUGUUUAGCUGCCCACCGUUGAUAAUAAUGGAUAACUAAGUUGGUUCUAACUUUUGCUCCUGAUUUCUUGAGCGACGAGUUCCAAAUGUGUGAACCUUUUGAGUUUUGUGGGCAUCAAGCAAUGAACAUGCAACCUGGUAAUGUGACUGAUUUUUUGUAUUUGUAUAUUAUGUAAACAAUGGACAAGUAUUUAUCCAUUAUUUUUUAGUUUGUAAACUAAAAUUGAUUACAUAGCAAAAUUCAAUGGUCUAUCCAUAACGCCAAUAACCAAAAUUAUUAAGCUAAAAAAGUCGAAAUGGUUAACUAGUUAUUCAACAGCGCCGUAAAGCAUGCCUAUACAUCUAGUGCCCUCAUCAAUGUUGAUGGCUAACAUAGGCGAGUCACUGCCAAGGAUGUUCACUCACUGACAACGGCCACCCCUGCAAGCAACCGUUGAAGUUGAGCUCAGUCUAAUAAGGAUGUGCCAAAGGACAAUUUCAAAUUGAGUCGAGCACCUGAUGCAAAAAUGGCUCUACCACAACUUGCGGAGAAGAGAAAGAGAAGUACGGUUCAUCUAAUAUAUUUUUUGGAACAUGUCUCAUGAGGGGGGAGGAAUCCCCACUUGAAUAUUGAUUAUUGAAGAAAUAGGUCCAGUUUAUGAGGUAGACCAUGUCGAAACACAUGAUCUGAUUUAUGAAGGAAACCAGAUCAAAGAACUUGAUCCAGUUUAUAAGGAAAACAGGAUCAAAAACCAUACAACCCAAGAGGCAAGGCCAUGAAACACAAAAACAACCCAUACAUAGUUGCAACACGGUGCGAGGUCCAACAAACUAAAACUGAUAGGUGGUUGGUUGGAGCAGCACAGGUUAUGCAAAACCAUCUACAAGGCAUCACUAGCAAGACAAGAAGGUGCCAAACUCAGAGGUCGUGGCGAUAACACACGAGCAACAGCAACAUCGAAACCAUUGAAAUGAUAACAUAGGGUUCCACCACCAGGAUGUUACACCAUUGCCAAUCCUAUCGAUCGAGCGCCCAACAUUAGGGCCGAGUUGCCCAUGCCAAGGUGACGAUGGCAAGGGGGUAUAAGCCGGCUCCAUGAGAAUGCAUAGAGAGAAAGACAAAUCACCACCGAAAGGGAUGUUAGAUGGUGGGAAGUAACGAAGGAGUGACAUGCUCACGAGUCACGUAGAGCCAUUACAAGAAAAUAUCUCCACCAGGACAAACAUAGAUAAUGAUGUAGUGUAAAUGGAGGACACUCACAACCACAAGUUGGAAAACAAAUGAUCCAAGUAGAGACCGGACGGGUUAUUGCAACGAGAGAAAACAUUACAAGAAGAGGAGAUUACAUGGUUGCCGAGGAAAACAUGAACACAAUGGGUCGUAGAAGAUCCAAGAUCCCAUGUUGUGUGAAGUGGAACUCCACAACAACGCCUCCAGGAAGGUAAGCGGCGCCUGAAUGGUGUCGUCAUUGCUGCCGCCAGCAAGGAGCUAGCAGAUGGAUUUGUCCCGAAGACAGAGCAGCAGAAGGUCAAGCGGCCCCGUCCAAAGAGCCAGCAACAAAUGGCCGUGGAGGCAUUGAAACAAGGGAGCACAGGUCGAAGGGAGUAGGCAGAAGAAACAGAGGAUGGUGAGCGGCUGAGGCUAGUCCGCGGGGUAGAAGUAUCACCGCCACCGCCUGAGGCCACGCAAGGAGGUCUAGAUCUCUGAUGAGCAGGACCAAACUACGACCGCAAGCGCGUGCCGCACGGGGGCGUAGAGGCGAACAACAUGAGCAGAGGCCAAAUAGGGUGAAUAUGCACGAUACGGUGAAGCACAAGUCACCGUAGCGAGAAGGGUGGAGUGGAUCCGGCCAAUGGGAGUAGUAGCUGCAAGGGGAGGGGCGAGCGCUACUUAGGAGUGCGGGGAGGAAGACGAUGCCGAUGUGACGGGACCUAGAGAGGAGCGAGAAGGAACUGAGAGAGGGGGUGCUUGGCACUUGGUCUCAAGUUGCCAUGGUCGAAGCCAGGGCGAGGAGAGGCGCCACUAGCCAAGGGACAAGGAUGAAUGGUGGGCACGCUUGGAGGCUAAGACUGAUGGCGACUGCAACAUGUGCUAUAUGGUGACGGCAAACAGUCCGGCACACCACAAUGGAGACAAGCACAUGCCCAUCGGAGUGUGUAGCGCACGGAGGCGGGUCGUGGAUGUCGACGCACCGGGUGGCCCUUGCUGUGAGCAUCAAGCCACACCAGGAUGUGGAGCACAAUGGAGACCACAUGCAGCAGCUGGAGCAGGCCAAGGAUGAUUGCACGAAGCAUAUAGAGGUGGGUUGUUGUCGGCGCUAGUGUGUAGGAGGUGUAUGGGGCAUGAAUCCCGGUCAGCAACAACGGGGCGGAUCUAGAUCUGGCGGGAGGAAAUGGAGCGGAGGCGCAUACGUGGGGCGUGCGUGCCCUCGUCGCCGUCGCCAGCCGCUUGGCUUUGCACAUAGGGUUCCUCCAGCGCGCGAUGGUGGCGGUUAUGCUUUUGGUGUGGCGUCGGGGUGGCCUCCGGAGUCACGAGGGUUGGCGACCUAGGUGGCUAGGUAUCUCCCCAUGUUUGUCAGAUUUGGGCUGAUGGAUCAAGCUACUCACACAAACUCACUCAUAAACAAGGCAAGAUUUUGUAAUUUAACUCAUUCCAGCAUGCGCAUCUUGCAACAUGUUGAUCACACGCUACAUGGCAUUGUUCUCUUCAAGGCAACACUUAUUAAUACUCCCUCCGUUUUUAUUUACUCCGCAUAUUAGAGUUGAAUGAAGUCAAACUUUGUAAAGUUUGACCAAAUAUAUAGAAAAUAAUAUAAAUAUUUACCAUAAAAAGUCAAUAUAAUGUGGAAGUACAUUCAACAAUGAAUCUAAUGGUAUUGAUUUGUUAUUGUAUAUGUUAAUAUUUUUGUCUAUAAACUUUGUCAAAGUUUGCAAAGCUUGACUUUGACCAAAGCUAAUAUGCGAAGUAAAUAAAAACGGAGGGAGUAUCUCUUAAUUGGUCUAUUUAUUGUAUGCAAUCUCUUUGUACUCAUGCUUCAUUUAUCUGUGAGUUCUGUAAUGUUUAAAAUAGAAAUGCACGUUAGUAUAUGAGAAUCUAAAUCUACCUAGAAACCUGGGUUAUGUUCAAUGUAGAUGCAUCAAGUCGACAAAUAGUAUCUAUCUAUCUAUCUAUCUAUCUAUCUAUGUAUCUUCUAUUAUCUAUCUAUACACACACACACACACACAGAGAGAGAGAGAGAGAGAGAGAGAGAGAGAGAGAGAUUUAACUCAUAAAGAUAAAAAAUACUACACACAACACUAUAUAUGGAGUGGCUACAUACUUUGCAUGGUGAUUGAACUCAGAGAAAAUACAUGUUUCUCAAGGAAACACCAACAACAAAGUCUUAUUUUUUGUGGGAAAACAACAACAAAGUCUUUAGUCCCAAACAAGUUGGGAUAGGCUAGAGGUGAAACCCACAAGAUCUCGCGACCUACUCAUGGCUCUGGCACAUGGAUAGCAAGCUUCCACACACCAUUGUCCAUGGCUAGGAAAGAGUAAAAAAAAAAGUUAUCAGUACAAUUUCCCUAAUGAAAAAACACAUAUAUUCUUAGGUAAUGUACCGACAAAGGCAUCACCAAUGCAUAACAUAAGUAUAUCAUUCAUGACUAUAUGUUUGAACCGAAGAUGUACCUUUUUACAUAUACAUAUUUAAAUUUAACCAUUGUAUAUUAUGCGUUAUCAGUGAGAAAGCAUUCAUUAGCUUCAACACAACUUACGCAUGAACUAAAUUAGCUCAAUCCAUACUUUUAAAAAUUAUGAUAGUACGAAAUGUUUAUUUUAAAAUCUAAAAUACAUUUAAAAUGACAAAAUAUAGGUUCUAACAUAUGAAAUUAUGAAUUAGAAAAACCGAGGGCACAAAUGCAUGCCCACAAGUAAAUACAUUCUCGGACCAUAUUUGUGAAUUGAAAAUGUUUUUUUCAUACAUACAUAUUUAAAUUUAAUGGUUCUAUAUUAUUCGUUAUUAGUUAAAAAAAUAAUGAGUUUUAACACACCUUAAGAAUGAACUAAAUGAGCUCAAUCAAUAAUUUGAAAACUUAUGAUAGAACAAAACAUAGCUUCUAGCAUGUGAAAUUGUAAAUUGAAAAAAUCUAGCCGUGCAAAUGCGCGGGUGACCCCCCGCUAGUUCUUUCAAAAGAAAGAAGAUGAUGGUCUCUCUUUUAAGUAGUAGCAGAACCCAGAAACAAGAGAACUACACAAAUUGCAGGCUACAUAAUCAAACAACUAACAUAAUGAUUGAUAAUGAUUGAACAGAGAAUCAGUUCCACGGAGAAACAGAAUUUGAAACUUGGAGACUUUGAUAAAACCCAAGACCACUAUAAGAAUAUAGUUUGCAUGAAAACAACAUGAAAAAACAUGCACAUGAGCUUGUUUAUGUGCCACGUACAACAUUAAAGAGACUCGGUAAAUCGUCGUCAUGAUUCAUCUUAUUCAUCCUUUGCCUGGGAGAAACAUUUGAUGUUCCAUUGAAUAAGGUAGGCAUGAGUUUGUAUACAAUCCUACAUCUUAUGAGGCUUGUAAGCUCGCCUUAGGAGUAAUAGAAACAAGGCUUGCAGUGUAAUACAGUAGCUCAAACACACAUAAAUUUUCCCAUGCAUGGCCCAAGGUGUCUUCACUCGGCCCAAGGAACCUUAGGUCAUCCAUAUCAAAUAUAUCCUCUUCUUUUACACCAUGAGCUUUCAUGUAAUAACGGAUUAGGCAAUGACCUCGUCGUAAGAGAGACCCAGCAGCGAUGCUAAGUGAGGCCACUGGACAGCAGUGAUCUGAGACAUUGAUUACAUAAUGGCAAUCCCACUCUGGAUUCACAAUAUCUCUUGCCAUCCAGACCAAUACUUGUUGCACAGACUUGCUAAAGAAAGUAGCACAUAAUUCCCCGUCAAGCUCAUGGAGAACAAUAUCAUCAUCUUCAACUGUAGGGUACACGUUGUUAAGCAAUGGAGUGAUACCAAAUGUUUCAUCUUGAAGGCAGAAACGAAGCAGCGCCCGCGGGGGACAUUGAUGAUUUUUCAUAUCUAUUAAAUAGAAUAGGGAACCCUUGCAGUGUAUGGCAGUUUGUGGACACACAAUAGGGUAUGGUGGAUCCAGCAAGGUUUCCCUCCAGUUGCCCUCGUCACCAUUAAUGGUGAAGACCUCCAUCCCCAUUGCAACAGAACUGUGAUCACAGGAACGGUAGAAAGACCGUGCAACCUUAUAUGUUCCAGUGGAAACAUCAAGGCGAAACCAAUCGGAAGGCAAGUGGAGUGCUGCAACAUAUUGCGGUGGCACUUGGGGAGCGCAACAGCAUCUCUAGUGGCUGGGUUGAAGACAUAAGCGUGGGUGUUUGUGGGGAGCAACACCAACCCAUCACAGUGUGACAUUUGGGACACCAGUGCGAACUCGCCUGUGGGGAACUGCCUCCCAUAAAGGAGUGUUGCACUACUACUGCUCCUACUCAUGUCAUCUUGUUGUAUAGACCACAGGUAGAAACGGAUGUUGGUGGAGAAAAGACCCAAAGGGUUUGGUUCCAGAUAAAUGUGGGGGGUGACGAGGAAGGAAGAUGGGUUGCGUUGUUGUUUCUGUUUGGAGCAGUGGAGGUGCGCACGAACAAAAACAGGGUCAGAGAUGAUAGCGUACCAGGCCUUGCUAACCAACUUAAACCUCACCAGGGACUCCACGGGUAGCCGGAUCAAGAUCUCCCACACCAUCACGUCCAAUAACAGCCCGCUUAUAGGCUGCGAACUCAUCGUCCUUUGCUUCCUCUGUGGCACACUCCCCGUCCUUUGCAUCCUCUGUGACUUCCUCUUCUUUAUUUUCCUGCAUCAUUAGCCGACUUCUUUGGAAAUGUACCAUUAACCCCCUUCAAGUCCACGCAGCAAGAAACAAAACCAAAAUAUAACUAGGAUCUUAAUAAUCUGUAUAUGCAAUGCACGGCACCGGCUACGCUGACACGAACGUGUAUGUGUAUAUAUACAGAUAUGUGCGUCUCCCUGGCCUGUUGGUAUCUUUCCCGGACACGGUGUCCGUCUUAGUAUAGGAGACGCACCAAAUUAUUGUUUUUCCCUUUUUGUCAGCAACAAAGGAUUCAGUGAGAUCCGAAACCUCAACAGAUCCGGUCAAAAGCUUUUGAUUCUCUCGGAGAAAAUAUAGUGAAAAGUACAGAAGAAAUAUUUAGGACGCCGAUAAGUGUCACACGUGUGGGCGUUAGGAGGUCUGCCCAUACAUUUUGUGUGGUGUAUAAGAGGAACAGCCCACACACCUACGUGUGGGCAAAACAAGUAAUGCCCACAUACCUUUUUUUCCCUCCCGAUCCCUCUCACACGCGUGCGUGUGGGCAAAAUAGAUAACGCCCACACGCCCCGUACAUCAGGCCUCGUACCUCGUGGUCCCGCACGCCCCGCGUGACAGUCACCGCGCGCCCGCAGUUGCCAUGGUCCAGACCCUCGUCCAUGUUCGUUUAACUGCAGUUGCCAUGUCGCUGAACUACGGUUGCCAUGUCGGACAACUACAGUUGCCAUGGUUGCUCAACUGCAGUUGCCAUCUCAUGCCAAAAGUUCCAGAUGUCAUUUUUGGGCAACUACGGCUGUUGCCAUGUAUGGUCUGGUUUACUAGAGUUGCCAUGAUUUGCAAACUUUAGGGGUUUGCCACCUACUAACACUAGGCAGUUGUCAUGUAUGGUCUGGUUUACUAUAGUUGUCAUGAUUUGAAAACCUUAGGAGUUGCCACCUACUAACACUAGACAGUUGCCGUGUAGCGCUAUAAAAAGACAUGGCAAAACAACAUGUUCGGGUAAAAAAGAGAGAGUUGCCAUCUGCUUACAAGCACACUAGGGCAGUUGUCAUGUACCCUGCAAAAUACAUGGCAACUGACAUGUUCAGGUAAAAAAAAAGUUGCCACCUGCUUAUAAAGCACAAUAGGCAGUUGCCAUGUACACUGCAAAACACAUGGCAAGUGGCAACUUGGGUGUGGGAGAUGAGACGGGCGUGUGGGCGAGAUGGCAAAUGCCCACAUACCAGCCCUUGUGCGUGAGUGCAAAUUGGCGUGUGGGCGAACUGCUGAACGCCCACACACCAGCCCCUCCGGUGUGGUGAAACGGCCAUGUGGGCGACCGGAUGAAUGCCCACACACCAGCCCAGUCCUACGUGGCACUAGAAACAUGCCAAGAUUCGUGCGCUCACCAACGGACGCGGAUUCACGCGUGUGGGCGAGAUGCAAACGCCCACAUGUAUGGACGUUAGUGUUUUUGAAUAUUUAAUGUGCUGGCAGAAAUUAGCAGAAACAUCCUUCUGUUGCCGUUGGUGUCGUCGCCGUCCAGCGGACUGGCCAUGGCUACAAGCUCGAUUGGAAAGGUCUUGCGCGUGGAGGCGGUUCUGAAGCUUCGGGAUUGGCGGAUGCUAGGCGUAAGCCGGCUGAUAAGAGCCAAACUUAAGCCGCCUCGUUAGCCACUCGAUCGGGCCAUCAGGAAGCGACAUCAGCCGUGGGAUCCAUCGAGUCAACCCACUCAGCUUUUCCCUUCGCGUUUCUUUUGGCGGCUGCAAACAGCGCGUACACUUUGCGUCGGAGAGAAAAAGCAGCAGCCCCAGUUCGCAGCGCCAUGGCACCCCCUGUCAGCUCGAGCGCCCGACGGCGAUGCUGCAAAACAGCAGGUGCCGCACACGGAGUUGUUUCGUUGAAGUAGCUGGUCAGUUGCAGACCGACGGCGAGCCUCAAACGAUCACCGCAGCGCGAAAAAAACUCGAGCCCUAGGUGGCGCUCCAUUGCGGUUCCGGUGAAGCUCCAUUGCAGCCGCGACAGAGCUCCAACGACUCCGGCAGGGCUCCAUUGCAGCUCCGAUGAAGCUCCAUUGCAGCGUCGGCGAGCUCCAAUGACCCCGGCGGUGCUCCAUUGCAGCCCCGACACGCUCCAUUGCAGCGACGGUAGAGCUCCAACAACCCCGGCGGUGCUCCAUUGCAGCCCUCGGCACGCUCCAUUGAAGCUCCGGCGAAGCUCCAUUGCAACCUUCCUGGAGCUCCAACGGCCCCGCGGCGCUUCACUGCAGAUCCGGCGGCACACGACGAUGCUUCAUUGCAACCUCGUCGGAGCUCCAACGACACCCGUGGCGCUUCACUGUAGCUCCGGCGGCGCCCGGAAGCGCUCGGAGGCGUUUCAUUGCAACCUCGCCGGAGCUCUAUUGCAACUCUGACGAAGCUCCAUUGCAGCCUGACGUAGCUCCAACGCAGUACGACGGUUCCCGGCGAUGUUUCGUUGCAGCACCGACGGGUCCCCCGCGAUGCUCCACUGGAGCACCACGCAGCCCCGGGUGGCAGCACGGGAGUUGCUGGAAAAAACCGGCGAGCCACCGCGUCGCUCGCUUGAAGCAUGGACAGAGCGUCGUCGCCCCCCUAUUGCGACACCGCCACGACCCCCGGGUCCGGCCGGCUGCACACUCAUUUGCAGCAUCGACACCCCGCUGCCCUACCUCACCGGCAGUUGCAUCUCGCACAAGGGCGCGUCCGCUCUUGCAGCGGCCAGUGGCUGGCCUUGCAGCAGUUAGGACGACAUGUUAGCGGUGUGCUUGGAGCAGGUGACGGCAAGCUCACCGCGGUGGCCGUUUGAUGAUGGAGCAGGUGACGACAAGCUCACAUGGGCGAUGGUGGUUGUAUGCUUGGGUUGAGAAAGAAGAGAGCCCGAGUGGAUAAGAUAGGAUGGAUGGCUCGUGAUGUUUCCUGGAGGGAAAGGACAGAGACAGGCGUGCUGGGCCACAGGGGCACGUGCCAGCUAGAGGAGGAGGUUUGCCUGACGGAGAAAUAAGUCGGAUGAAUAUAAACGUUUUCCGCUAAAUAAGCCGCGCGCUUGAAAUAACGGCUUUUUAGCACGCGUGUCCGAAUCGGCAGCUCGCACCCGAGCAAAAAUCGCGUGGGCGCUCCGCGGGGCCUCGCGCGCUGGUUUUUUCAGGUAUCCGCUACCGUGCGUUGUACAGCGACUUGCCCGCGCGAAUGUCCACCAACCGCCGGAUCUGAAAUAUCCACUCACGCGCACGACUUCUCCAUCCUCUCCAGCGACCCGUCGGCCCUUCCCCCCGCCGUUCCCCACCGCGCGUGCCGCUUCCCCCUCUUCCCUGUUGGUCGCCGGUGCCUCCUCCACCGCGGCCGCCCCUCGAGCGCCCCGUUCCGCCGACGAACUGCGCCCGGCGGGUGUUUGCAGCUUGGCGCCCACAAGGUGUUUGACAAAAGCUUGCAAGGUAUAUAUUUGUACUAAACCUCAUAUUUAUAGAUGAAUUCGGAGCAUGUUGUUUGUAGUGUCAAAUAUUAGUUUGAAUUCAAAUUUGUAGGUGAGUUCAUCCCACGAUUCUUCCGAUGAAGAAUUUGAUCUUCAAGAGGAGGAGGACCUUGCAAUGGUCCUAGCUAUGCACAUCAACAAAAAGCCGAAGCACGGUUUUUCGUCGUUAGAAACUAUGGAGGGAGAGGAUCGAUGCUGAGAACAGAUUGAUGAGGAACUAUUUUACUGCAGAUUCCCAUAUAUCCCGAGUCCUACUUUCGACGCCGUUUUAGGAUGAGCAUCGAGUUGUUCAAACACAUUGCAGAGAAACUAACGAGCUAUGAUCUAUUUUUUUAGCAAAGGAGGAAUGUCGCCGGAGAACUCGGGCAUAGCACCUUUCAAAAGGUGACCGCCGCUUUGCGUAUGUUGGCAUACAUAAUUCCGGCGAAUCUAGUUGAUGAUCACUUGGCCAUGGGUGAGAGCCAAGCCAUCAUGUGUUCGAAGCGCUUCGCGGUUGGAAUCGUGCAAGUGUUUGGUCCGGAAUAUUUGAGAGCUCCCAAUGCUGAAGACGACGCAAGGCUUUUGGAGAUGAAUAAAGCUCGCGGGUUCCAGAUAUGCUUGGCUCAAUGGAUUGUAUGCAUUGGAGUUGGAAGAACUGUCCUAAGGCAUGGCAUGGACAUUCCACGGGCAAAAAAAAGGUUCAACUAUAAUCCUUAAAGCGGUGGCCUGUCAGGAGACUUGGAUCAUGCUUUUUUUUGGAAUGCCAGGAUCGAUCAUCACUCAUGAAUAGUAUUGCAAAUGAUGAACUACCACCGGUGCAGUUUGUAGCAAAUGGCCAUACAUACAACUAUGGCUAUUAUCUUGAGGAUGACAUCUACCAAAGGUGGCAAACAUUUGUGAAGCCGUUGAAAAACCCAGAAGGUAAGAAAAAUGUUUAUUUCCACAAUGCUCAGGCGGCGGCUAGGAAAGAUGUGGAGAGAGGUUUUGGAAUUUUGCAAGCCCAAUUUGCUAUUGUGAGAGGACCAGCUAGAUUUUGGGAUCGAAAUAUCCUUUGGUACAUCAUGAAUGCUUGUGUGAUCAUGCAUAAUAUGAUCAUCGAGAACGAGCGUGGGCAAGAUUUGGACUAUUCUCAAUAUGAGUUGUUGGGACGUCCCGUACGAGUGCGGAGGAGUGUUGAGAGGGUGGCCCGCUUUGUUGGCUCCUAUUAUGCCAUUCGACAUGCCGAAACACAUGAUGAACUUCAGAAGGAUCUAGUCGAGGAGUGGUGGGCAUGGAAUGGGCGACAAAACACAUGACUGUUAUUUAUUGUAUUGGUCAUGAACUAUUUGUUGUAUUGAACUUUAAUUAUUUGUUUGAGUUAUAAUAAUAAAUGAACUAUUUUUUGUCGAUUUAUUUUGUGUGUGUUUGAUCUUCUUUGUUUCACAUUGAAUGCAAAAUGUUGUUUGUGCUGGGCGCGUGCGCUCUAUUUUACAGCGCCUGCUGAAGCGGCACUCGUGCGCUAAAAUUUCUAGGCGUCCGGUGAAGCAACUGACUAGUUCGACGCGCAAAAGCGCUGCAAAAACUAAUGAUAAAUGAACUAUUUUUUGUCGAUUUCUUUUGUGUGUGUUUGAUCUUCUUUGUUUUACAUUGAAUGCAAAAUGUUGUUUGUACUGGGCGCGCGCGCUCUAUUUUACAGCACCUGCUGAAGCGGCACCCUCGUGCGCUAAAAUUUCUGGGCGUCCGGUGAAGUAACUGACUAGUUCGACAUGCAAAAGCGCUGCAAAAACUUUUAGCGCGUCGCGCCUGUUGAAGAUGCUCUUAGCGACCCUCUCUGCCAUACUGCGGCGACCAUUACGCACGCGCAAUGUUUAAAACGAGACAGAAGAAAAUGAGGAAACCGCGAUUCGACCCCUGGUAGCUACACUCAACCUCAUGUUAAGGGCAUCUACAACCGUUUGAAAGGGAUUCAGUUAUGUAAUACUGCCCCCAAGUCUCAACCAUUUGUUGUUUGCAGAUGGCUCGUUGGUACUAAGGAAAGCCAAUGGCGAAAGCACCACAACACUGCAAUACAUACUAGAACUCUAUGAGAAUUGCUCGGGAAGUACAGACAAUUAGUUUUGACAAGUCGUCGGUGAUGUUCAGCAAGAAUACAAGGAGUGCUAACCGGCAAGAGGUCCUAUAUGUACUGAAUAUUCGAGGGGAGACAUGGAAUGAAAAGUAUCUGGGGCUCCCAGUCUAUGUUGGUGCAGCAAGAUCACAAGUUUUUUAGUAUCUUAAGGAUAGGAUCUGGAAGAGAAUCCAAGGAUGGAUUGAGAGGCUUCUGUCUCAGGCUGCUAAGGAUGUUCUAAUCAAAGCUAUCCCAACUUUCGCUAUGUCCUGUUUUGACUUGACAAAAUCUCUUUGUGAACAAAAUGGGUGCCAUGAUCUGCAGGUAUUGGUGGCACGGCAAGAUGACAUGAAAAAAAUGCACUGGCUGAGCUGGGAACUUUUAACUAGACCGAAAAGUAAGGGGGGCUGGGUUUUAGGGAUCUACACGGUUUUAACCUUGCAAUGCUUGCCCGCCAGGCGUGGCGUGACAGUACCUGAUUCCUUGUGCGUCCGGGUCCUAAAGGCCAAGUAUUUCCCGUCUGGAUCGAUCUUGGAUGCCCAACCAAAGGCGGGGGUAUCAUACACAUGGCGAAGCAUUUUGCGAGGGUGCAGCUUCUUAAGGAGGUAGUCAUCUGGAGAGUAGGAGAAAGGACAAGCAUAAAUAUCUGGACUGAUCCUUGGUUGCCAAAGGACGGAACACGGCAGCCCCGAACCCCUAGUGGCAACUGUGUGUUUACCAAAGUCUCUGAACUAAUUGACCCAAAUACUAUGACAUAGGGUGAGACACUGAUUGGAUAUAUUUUCUGGGAGGAGGAUGCCAGUAUCAUUCUAGCCAUGCUGAUAAGGGAGGACUUUGAAGAUUAUUAUGCAUGGCAUUACGAUGGAAAGGGCGAAUUUUCUGUCAAAUCCGCGUACCAGGUGUUUGUUGGAGGGCUCGAUGAAAUAGCUUUUCCUACAUCUGCUGUAGCAGCUAAAGAGGAAGUGGACUGGAAGAAACUCUGGGCUAUGCCCUGCCCGCCCAAAGUCAAGCAGUUCCUAUGGCGCUUUGCUCAGUCUGCCGGUCAAGAUGAACAUCCGACGGAGAGGCGUUGAAUGUGAAACCCUAUAUAUGUGUGUGCUGUCGGCGACUCGAUGAAGAUGGAUGCCACUUGUUUAUCAAAUGCAAGGAGGUAAAGAUGCUUUGGCGGGAGAUACAGAUGGAGGAGGUCAGGUUGCGGUUGUGUGCAUGUAGAGGAGCAAAGGAAGUGGUGCAACAUGUCACCUCGCACUCUCGCUAUGUGAGAGUGAUCAAGUGUUAAUUACAUGCAUGCUAUGGAAGUGGUGGAACCGCAGGAAUAAACUAAACAAGAAUGAGGGUGUGUCUCAUGUUGUGACCACGGCUGCACAUGCAAGGUCCUUCGUGCCGCCCAACCGUCCCCCGCAUCGCCCCCCGCAUGGGCGACUCGGGCGGAUUGGCAAUCCUAGCCGCUAGGCAGCCGCAGAUCCCGUGCCUCCCUCCGUCGCCGCUGGAGGAAGCCACCGGGCAAGCCUGGUGCCCGACGACGGUGGGGGAGGCUCCCUUCUCUCCCACGCAGGUUUGGACGAUGCGGGGCAUCCAUGGGCAUGGGGCACCUGCCCAGAUUUCAAUCACUGGCGGCGUAACGUCUCUCCGGCGGCGGUGCUGCAGGGUCGACGGGGAGGACUGGUGGUGCGGCUGUUGGCGGCGAUGUGCGGGUUGGCUGAUCCAGCCCGUACAUGUGGCCGGCCGGCGGCUGCGUGGAAGGGCCAGCGAGGGGCGCCAGAGGCCUCUGCUGGCGAUCCGGUGGAGUUUCUGGAUUGGAUCCGGUCGUCACGCCCGAUCCGUCCGGCCGUUUGGGAUAUUGCGGGGUGCCCGGCGGUCUGCUGCCGGAGUACCGACGGCGACGUACGUCUUCGUGGCGAGGUUCCGCUCGGUUCCAGCCAGCCGCAAGAUCGGGACGACGUGGCUUUCGGUGAAAAUCGCGCCUGACUGCGGUCUUGGCGGACGAUGGCGGUGUCUCGAACGUCGUUCCUUUCUCGAGGCAUCGUCGUUGCAGGUCACGUCAACCUGAUUGGGAAGUUCCGAGGGAAACCCUAGAUCUGGGUCUACCGGAUCGGACGAUGACGGCGCCUUCGGUGUCGUUCUUCCUCCUAGGGCAUCGUUUUGGAGCAAGUGCUGGUUGGAGGGGACAAGAGGAGGAGCGGUGUUUCAUCUUGCCCAUUGAUGACGGCAGAUCUCGGCGGCGUGGCGCAGUGAAGACUCGGCGCCCGAUGCGUGGAGAUGGACUCGCGCAGGAGGAUGACGCUGUCUGGUGUCGUGGUGGCGUCGGCGGCAGUUAGACCAGGCAAGGUACAUGCAUCAGUACAGCUCUGAAGAUGGAUUGGUGGCAAGUGGCUGCGGCGGCUCAUACCCGGCAGGCGUCCUGGUUGAGGAGCACGCCGGACUAGUGGGUGCCCAUACCCGGCACGCGUCCUGAUUGGGACCUUAGAUCUUUGAUGUUAAGUUUGGCUGUUAUGUCUGUUUGGUAUUAGGCCCAGACUAUCAGCGCCCCUUCAUCAACUGGAUAGGAGUUGCGACAGAUGUUGCGUAGACGGUGACUUUAGUCUUACUGUUGUAUGACUUUGUAAGGUCUUAUGUCAAUAAUUAACAAAAUGGUUGUAUGCAUCGUCCAGAUGCAGAGGCUGGGGUCUUCCUUCUUUUUCUAAAAAAACAAAAACAUGCAAGGUCCUUGGCUCUAGAAGUCAUGCAGUUCAGUGCGAAACAGCCAAAGGUGCAAGCUACCAGGCCGGCCUACAGAUGGACAAGACCGGAGGGAGAUAAACUGAAAAUCAACAUCGAUGGGCGUACCAUGAUUCAUCGGGGACCGGGGGCUGGGGGUUUGUAAUCCGAGAUAGAAGUGGAGAUGUUGUUGGUGCAGGAGAUGUGAAAAUCACGCAUGCCAGUACUGCCACGCGUACAGAGGCCGAAGCCUGUUUCCAAGCAUUGUCAGCUGCGGCGACAUGGGGUAUUUCCAAUGCGGUUGUGGAAUCAGAUUGUCAAAUCCUACUGAACGUGUUAUACUCAGAGAUACCAGGCAGUUUAUCCGUCUGAAUUUUAGUUCUUUGGCUUUUUCUUUUGUCCCUCGUGAUGGUAAUAAAGUUGCCCAUGCUCUCGCUGCAUUGGGUUGUAAUGGCUCGGAGCACCACCGGUUGUGGUUGUAUGGUGUACCGAACAAUGUACGCGUGAUGAUGGCCAGCGAGUCUGCUGAGCCUGUUUAAGUCAAGGAACCUCAGUGUUCCAAUUUCAAAAAAUAAAAGAGCAUCUACAACCACAUAUUGCAAAUCUGUGCCCUCAAAUGUCCCGAACGAUUGGGCGGGCCUCAAAAAUGACCAUUUUCAAUCACACUCGUAUUAGUCCCACCUCACCGCGUGACGAGCUAGUCGACCGGCUUAAUAGCCGGGUCGUGCGGAACCAAUAAGCUUCUCACUUCAUUGGAUCCUUUGUAAAGAAUAGACUAUUACUAUAAAUCUUCUAUGUGGUAAACAUAUAAGAUUCAUAGUCACGGUCUAUCUCCUUUACAGGGGAAACAUUUAUAUCCGUACUGCUUUUUAUGAAUCACAAUUUGUCAAAAAAGUCGAUGAAUAAAAUUAAAAAUCUACUAUCACUAUAGUAAGGGUAUCAACGUACAUGAACGAGACGAACUUGACCCUCGACGAACAAUCAUCAGUUAAUGAAAUACAGUCUAGUGUCAAGUUAUCUCGCUCACACAACAAUAAUUGAUAGACUUACAUAACAACAGAAAAGCUUGCCGUCAUGCGCCAGCGUGGCUAUUUAAGACGAUCGGCGUCCGCCUCGCCCAGCAAUGUGACACUAAAAUUUUGCUGCGCCUAUGAGAGAGGACGGAACUUCAGUCGGUGCAGAUGGGACCGCUACGACCUGCAGCGGGGUCAGAGCACGCACCUAGGCGCCCCCAUAAUCCGCCUCAGGGCUGGAUAUGAGGAGUGUCGGUCAGCCCGGGCAUUUGAGGUCCGUUUAAGGCGCCCGGCUGGGUCAAAAUUUUGCAACCGGCCAAUGACCGGGCGGCCCGCCCGCGCGUUUGAGGCGGGUUUGGAGUGCCCGGCUGUGGAUGCUAUAAAGUAGUUCGCGGGUCAUACUUGAGGCAUAAAGUAGCUGGGUGCGCCCUAUUUUUUCUUUCUUUCUCUAUUUUCUUCUACCUUUUUUGGUUUUUCUUCCUUAUUUCGCUUUUUUGUUCUCCAUUUUUUCAUUGUUUUUUAUUUGUUUCUUAGGUUGUAAUUGUUUUUCUCUCUUUUUGUGUCUUUUAUUUCUUCUCCGGCUUAGUUUAGUUUUCAUUUUUUUUAAUUCUUUCUACAUUUGUUUCUUUGUUUUUUUAGUUUUUGUUUGGUUUCCUUUUUUCUUCUGCAUUUUUUUCUUUUGUAUUUUCUUAUGUUUGUUUUCGUUUUCACUCUACAUUUUUGUACAUGUCAAAAAAAAUUGUAACAAGUGAUCAACAUUUUUUGUUUACGUGUUCAACAUUGCCCGAACGCUAUUUCAACAUUUUUUGGAAACUUGUUCAGCAUUUUAAUAGUUAUUCAACAUUUUUUCAAAUACUUGUUCAAGAUUUAUAAUACUUAUUCGAUAUUUUGAAAUACUUGUUUAACAUUUUUCAUAUACUCCUUCAACAGUUUUAAUACCUAUUCUACAUUUUUCAAAUACUUGUUCAACAUUUUCAAAUUCAUGUUCAAUAUUUUUAAAUACUUGUUCAACAUUUUUCAUAUACAUGUUAAACAUUUUUUGAAUACCUAUUCAACAUUUUUCAAAUACUUGUUCAGUAUUUUUAAUACUUAUUCAACAUUUUUUCAAAUACCUGUUCAACACUCUCAAAUUCUUGUUCGACAUUUUUUAAUACUUAUUCAACAUUUGUUUUCAAUUGUGAUUUUGAAGAGUGUUUUUGUAAUAUAUACAUAUAUAUAGAGAGAGGACAUCUUAAAGUGUAAAGAAAGGUACAAAAAUAACAAAAAAUGAGAACAUAAAACACACACAAAAAUCGGUUGUGGCUCCCGAGCGGCUAGGCCGGCCCGUCUGGGAAUCGCCCCAACACGAGCGCAUCCCCAUGUCUCGCUUAAAGCGAGACAUAGGGGUGCCCCUGCCAUACGCAGUCCGGAUUCCACCCACGGGUAACUUGGCCGGACCCACCUAGCUGCUCUCAAAGAUACGCAGAUACCUGGCAUUUCCUAAAUGGCGUUUAUUCGAUUGUUGCAAACAGGCGCACACCGCUCCCUCCGCGUUGGCCCGGCCCAUCUUACGUUUUGUUUCUUUUCUAUAAACCCUUAAAGAAAGAGCGCCCGUGGAGUUUCAAACUCUGCAUCCGUGCUUCCCCGUAGGAGAUCGAACCACUGAUAAACAACCAACAUAUUUUCUAUUGUGCUAUAAGACAUCUAUAAUACCUAAAUAUUUCAUCCCCGCUAUGUAAUUUCUCUUAACAUGCAAGCUAGCCACAUCAGAAAUAAUCCACCUCAGCAAAUCCACAACCAGCGAAAACAAAUCUUUUCCUUUAGUGCGCAUGGUUUCCUUCCCAUCUUCUGUAACUGACGAAACGUGUCGUCUUAUCCUCAAACCAAUCGACAUCUCAUCAUAUAUUCCCUUCCAUCAAAAGCUUGAACUCUCGGGUUCUCCUCCACCGGCCGGUCGCGCCACGCAAGCCGGCGGCAGCCACUUCGCGCAUCUACACGGGUGGCGCCUCCCUCGGUCCCUCACCCGGUUGUCCGCGUCUGCCAAGCUGGCCGGACAACUGCCGAGAACCCACAUCGGAAGCGGCGGCGCUCCUCCUGUAGACGCCACUGCGGCCGCCUUGCCACAACUCCAACCACCGCAUGCCUCCAAACACCGUGCAGAGGCAUCGUUCUGAUAAACACACUACAGCUAAGUUGUGGAUUAUCCCCUUUGACGUUGCUUUUCAUUUGAUUCGUAUAAUCCCUGUAUUCCUCUUCCCAGAGCAUCCAGAUCCAUCCCCUUCCUUCAGUUUGUUGUCUGGGAUAGCCUCAUACACCUGCCUCUAUUGAUUUUGCAGCCGGUGGCAUGCUGCUGGGCUAGCAAUCCGGAAUUUUUUACUUCGUCUACCCAACAAGGUAAAGAUUAGCCACGAUCCUUUAUUUUUCGUGGGAAUAGUCCCAUCUACCCGCUUCUCUUAUUUUUACUCAACGUUCUGACUGCCAGCAAUCCUACCCCAUAGAGUUUGGCCCUGAUGGUAGCUUCUUGUUGCAUUUGUAUUCUUCUGCAGAGAUUAACUCUAUUCCACUGUCCAAAAAAAGAUUAACUCGAUGCAUUUUAUGAUGAGAAUGAGAUAGUCCAUUCUGGAUUUAUUAUAACUAAUGUAGUUACUGCGUGAUUAUCUAUAUACUACAAUCUGGAUGUUCUAGCAAUAACAUGGUAUGUUCCUUUAUAAUUGCAGGUAUACAGUCAAGUCUACACAAAACUGUAUGGUCGACAACCUUCUUUACUCUUGCAUCAGGAUCCCGCAUACAAAUCAUUCGCAAAGAUUUCUCUACUCUUGAUCGUGGCUAAUCUUUACCGUCGCAAAACUUCGCUCACUUUCAGGUUUGCUGCUUGAAAUUCUCAUGCCUGUAAUUUGCUUUAAUUAAAUUCCAAAUGUAUCGUUCCCAGGGUCUCACGUACAACUGAUGGAGAAUUUUUUAAUGAAAAUGUUGUUCACUGUUUUCCAUUAGGGAUCUUUCGAUCAGAGCAAGAACCCGGCUGCGACCAACCUCAUUUCAUAUUUUUGCCUCGGUCAGCAGCUUGGCAUAUUUUGUUCGCUCCUUUUAAACCUGGGUAAUUCUGCACAUAUUUUUUAUCUCCAACUCCAACACAUGUUUUUGAUAUACCAAUGGGUCAUUACAGGUUGGUAUAGCUGUUUGUGAACUUAUAUCCUUUUCCUUUUUUCUUCAGAAUAUGUUUUUCCAAUGCUAGCAGAAUUCUAUAGACUUUAUAUCUUAAGAGGCCAUUACUAGGACAAUGCUACCUGCCAAUAAAAAUUCUUCACGAAUCAACAGGGUGUACAAAAAUGUGUGCAGUGUUACCAUACAAAAUGGUUGAGGUGCCAUAUGCUCUCUCAUGUUUACCCUUACUGUUUACUUUAGUUAUUCCAACAAAGAGUCUGGCAGAUCAUGAUGCUUAAAUUUCAACCACAAAACGUCAGGUGCUAAUUCUCUCUUCUCUUACAUCGUGUUACUUUUUUUGUUACACAUAAUUAUCUGAAGUGCUACCCUUUUUAUUGGUUUUCUAUCAUCUCCUCUUCCAACACUUGCACUCCAGGAUGCCUCUAAAGCCUCACAUCACUCUUCCAUCAGUUCUACCAAGAAAGACAUUCAGCAUAUACAUGCACGCAAUGAAUCAGCUCACGGAAUCUACAAAUGCAAAAGUGUGCGGAACUAUCAGAAGCAAAUUUCAGGGAGAAAACAUCAGCAACUAACUACCCAUGAAGAUCACAUUAUAACUGUUGGUUGCAUAAACAAGGAAGCAAUUUUCAUGGCAUAUAGCUCAUUUGUACAUAUAUUAUACAAAGUGGUUGCACUGAAUAUAACUUAUGUACAAUGUACUACUUAAAUUUUCCCUUUCAACUCAAGCCCCCCUACAGAUAUCAUGGUGUUUUAUUCUUCGAUUCAUUAACACAUUGCUUCUCAAAUUAGUCCCCAAAUACCCGCAGCAACGAGCGGGGAAUUCAUCUAGUUACACAAAUGCUUGUAUCCAAUAUUUGGAUUCUCAUAUCCUCCAAGACAUUACACAAAUGCUUGUAUCCAAUAUUUAGAUUUCCAUAUCCUCUAAGGCAUUGAAUGCAUAGCCAAGAGGGGUGCAAUAAAUAUCACGCAAUCCCGUUCUUCUCCUCACACCACCAUUCCAACAACUUCUUUUGAGCACUUGGCCAUGGCGUUCAGUGGCACCCAGAUGCUCGGUGCUUUCACCCUGGGCAUUCUCCUUAUGGCCUUCUGUAAGUUCAUAUAACAGAUUUUAACGCAUCUCCCAUAGUUCAGAAUUUUGAAGCAACUAGCGGGAACAUGAAUUCAAUACACAUGAUUAAUUAUUGGAGAUAGAUACUAUACACAAAUGCUUGUAUACAAUAUUUGGAUUUCCAAAUCCUCUAAAGCAUUACACAAAUGCUUGUAUCCAAUAUUAGGAUUUGCAUAUCCUCUAAGACAUUACACAAAUUGUCGUAUCCGAUAUUUGGAUUUCCAUAUUCUCUAGGCCUCUUUUGGUUCAUAGGAUAAGAGUAUCAUAGGAAUAAGAAAGUUGUAGGAAAUGAGAUGACAUGUCUCUUAAAUCCUAUGAGUAGGGACAGAAAAAAAGAUGCCAUUUGGUUCACAUCAAAGGAAUUUUUCAUUAAGUCUAGACUAAUGUUUAUUUUCCUUUGAAAUGUGAAGGAUAUGAACCAAUCCCAUGUAGCAAUAGAAUUCCUAUGAAAUUUCUAUAGACCAAAGGAGGCCUAAUACAUUACACAAAUGCAUGUGUCCAAUAUUUAGAUUUCCAUAUCCUCUAAGGCAUUGAAUGCAUAGCCAAGAGAGAUGUUAUAAAUAGCACACAAUCCCGUUCUUUUCCUCACGCCACCAUUCCAACAAUUUCUUUUGAGCACUUGGCAAUGGCAUUCAGCGGCACCCAGAUGCUCGCUGCCUUCACCCUGGGCAUUCUCCUCAUGGCCUUCUGUAAGUUCAUAUAGCAGAUUUGACCGCAUCGCAAUCCCAUGCAAUUUAAGAUCAAAUCUAUGAAACGAUUGCUAAUAUAAUUUUCGGGUGCACACGCUAAUUGUAUGUCACAUGCAGGUGCGGAGGCUCGGGUAUGCAUGUCGACUAGCAAGUUGUACAAAGCGAACCCUUGCAAGAACGUGCGCUGCACCAAGGCUUGUCACAAAGAGCACUUCAAGGGUGGGUUUUGCUCCAGUAAAAAGUCGAUCGUUGAUGACGAGCUCAACGAAGACAACGGCGACAACAACUUUGGCAAACGGCCUAAGAAAAAAUCGAAAAAAUCGUGCAUGUGUACAUUCCCAUGCGGUCAAACCCCACCACCACCGUCGGAACCUGAUGUGCCAGAGCCGCCCGAAGUGCCAGUGCCCGGGCCACCGCCGAGGGCCGGCCAUAUUUAUUGAGUGUUGAGUAAAUGAUCAUAUGUAUGAACCUGAGGUGUCGAGGAAAGAGAGGAAACAAUCACUGCUUAAUUUGUACACAUGCAUGAUUGAUUGCAUAAGAAUGAUAAUAAUAAUAAUCUAAAGUGAAUCAACAGUAAACACGAGUGUCUCUACCAUGGAUCAUAGU
rnacentral:lncRNA from 1 species